ACUCCUGUGCCCUGAGACUGAUUUGUUGUGAAAUGCAAGUUAUUAGAUUGCACUUGUUUUUCUGCUGCUUUUGCCAAAUGGUUGCAUGUUUCUGUCUAUCUGUUUUUUAUUUACAGAGGUUUGGUUUGCAUUUGUUGGUAUUGCCUGAAUGGUCUUGUUAUCUUCUGAGUUCUGGCGGCUGAGAUUGCUGGUAGUCUGCAGAACCUGGCUACAUCUGUAUUCAUGCCUGCAAUGCUUCUGAGUAACCACGUUUGAAUCUCAACCAUUAUUGGGUUUCUUCCUAAAUCCUGUACAGCGAGCUGCCUCUGUUAUUUUACGGAAAAAAUGCCAAUUUCGCAUGCUUUGUGUCUCCGUGUCUAAAUAUUUCACUACGGACUUGUUGUUCUAGAGAUGGUGGCUGGCUAGAGACCAACUUUCGGCCUCUCGCAGUCUUAAUGGGUUUUGGGCAAUUGUUGUUUUGUUCUGAACAAACCUGGCCUAGUUCAGCUCUUAAUAGAACUUCUGAUAGGCUGUGUGUAUUUUGUUAUGGUACCAAAUCAUGUUUAUCAUUUAUAUUCGUCUGUGUGACUAGCAAAAUGUUACGACACAAUUUGCUUUGAUGAUCUGGUUGUUUACCUCAGAUUCUUCUGAUUCUUGUCACCCUCCUAAUUUCUACUUUUCCCCUUCUCCAUCCUUCAGCCUGAGGAUUGAGGACCAGCUUGUUGAGGAUGGGACUCGAGCAGAUUUGGGUCAGUUGAUGAUUAUGUGGAUUAGGAUGACACCACAACUGAACAUCCAUAUUUUCGGCUGAUUCCCAUGCUCAGGCGCAAACUCAUUCUUUUGUUCUUGCCACUUAGUGCCAAACCGUGAGAAUUGUGAAAAUAAUAAUCUAUGUGAGAUAUGUAAAACCGUUGUAACUUUGAUUGUGUGCGCUCUCAGUUUGCGGUUUUGUGAGGAACUGUUCAUUUUUCUCGCGUGAGAUAAUUUGAACCUAUGAUAAUGUUGCUUAUGUGUGUAUAGCUUGCCAUUUGGGGCAGCGAAGAAUUGAUAAUUUUCCUUGCGCUCAGAUGUUUGAACUCGUGACAAAUUUGAUUAUGUGAUUUUUUACUUUCUCCCAAGAUUGGUUACGCGGGAAAUCGUAUGAGAAGUAUGUACGUGCAUUGCAUUGAAGGCUGAAAGAUAUAGAAUUGAUAAUUUUCCUUGCGCUCAGAUGUUUGAACUCGUAUUUGGGGCAGCGAAGAAUUGAUAAUUUUCCUUGCGCUCAGAUGUUUGCUCAGAUGCAGAUAUACUGAAAGCAAACAGAGAAUGCAUCCCAGCGUUCGAUCUCCCAGCUGGCUCAUUGUGAGUGUAUAGAGUGGAUCAGUGGAGUCGAGUGAACCUAGUUACGGAACGUACUGUCAAAUCAAGAUUUAGCGUGUAGAGCUAGUAAAGCAUGAACGUGGAGCAGAGUCAAGGAAUUAGAGGAGUGGAGGGGAUCCGAACACGCUCUAAGAGCAUCUCUAGUGGAACGUGUAAAUUUGAACGUGUAUAUCUUCAUAUACACGUCCAUAUACACCUUGUUAAAUUUUACACCUUUCAAUUUUUCAGUGAAACGUGUAUACACGACGUGGAAAUUAGGACGUGCAAAAAUCUCGCCCUGCAUCUCGCACGCCCGCACGGAGCGCCUCCCCCACGCAGCGCCGCCCGCCCGCCCGCACACACCNNNNNNNNNNNNNNNNNNNNNNNNNNNNNNNNNNNNNNNNNNNNNNNNNNNNNNNNNNNNNNNNNNNNNNNNNNNNNNNNNNNNNNNNNNNNNNNNNNNNNNNNNNNNNNNNNNNNNNNNNNNNNNNNNNNNNNNNNNNNNNNNNNNNNNNNNNNNNNNNNNNNNNNNNNNNNNNNNNNNNNNNNNNNNNNNNNNNNNNNNNNNNNNNNNNNNNNNNNNNNNNNNNNNNNNNNNNNNNNNNNNNNNNNNNNNNNNNNNNNNNNNNNNNNNNNNNNNNNNNNNNNNNNNNNNNNNNNNNNNNNNNNNNNNNNNNNNNNNNNNNNNNNNNNNNNNNNNNNNNNNNNNNNNNNNNNNNNNNNNNNNNNNNNNNNNNNNNNNNNNNNNNNNNNNNNNNNNNNNNNNNNNNNNNNNNNNNNNNNNNNNNNNNNNNNNNNNNNNNNNNNNNNNNNNNNNNNNNNNNNNNNNNNNNNNNNNNNNNNNNNNNNNNNNNNNNNNNNNNNNNNNNNNNNNNNNNNNNNNNNNNNNNNNNNNNNNNNNNNNNNNNNNNNNNNNNNNNNNNNNNNNNNNNNNNNNNNNNNNNNNNNNNNNNNNNNNNNNNNNNNNNNNNNNNNNNNNNNNNNNNNNNNNNNNNNNNNNNNNNNNNNNNNNNNNNNNNNNNNNNNNNNNNNNNNNNNNNNNNNNNNNNNNNNNNNNNNNNNNNNNNNNNNNNNNNNNNNNNNNNNNNNNNNNNNNNNNNNNNNNNNNNNNNNNNNNNNNNNNNNNNNNNNNNNNNNNNNNNNNNNNNNNNNNNNNNNNNNNNNNNNNNNNNNNNNNNNNNNNNNNNNNNNNNNNNNNNNNNNNNNNNNNNNNNNNNNNNNNNNNNNNNNNNNNNNNNNNNNNNNNNNNNNNNNNNNNNNNNNNNNNNNNNNNNNNNNNNNNNNNNNNNNNNNNNNNNNNNNNNNNNNNNNNNNNNNNNNNNNNNNNNNNNNNNNNNNNNNNNNNNNNNNNNNNNNNNNNNNNNNNNNNCCCCGCACAGCGCCGCCGCCAGCCAGCCCGCCUGCACGCACAGCGCCCCGCACAGCGCCACGAGCGUGGCUGCAUCGUGUUUAUUUGCACGACGAGUAGCCUCGUGGAUGGACGUGUAUAACUUCCACGCCCGUAUACACGUUCCACUGGGAGGCAUUUUUCUGCUAGCAACGUGUAUAUUUACCAUCCACCUCUAUAUACACCAUCCACUAGAGAUGCUCUAAGAGCAUCUCUAGUGGAACGUGUAAAUUUGGACGUGUAUAUCUUCAUAUACACGUCCAUAUACACCUUGUUAAAUUUUACACCUUUCAGUUUUUGAGUGGAACGUGUAUACAUGACGUGGGAAUCAGGACGUGUAUAUUCCAACGGCUAUAUUUUCAAACGGCUAUAUUUUCAACUAGGAUAAAGCAUCAAAUAGUUCUUACAACAACUAAGAUAAAUUAUCAAAUAGUUCUUACAACAACUAGGAUAAAGCAUCAAAUAGUUCUUACAACAAUUAGGACAAAGCAUCAAAUAGUUCUUACAACAACUAGGAUAAAGCAUCAAAUAGUUCUUACUCUAGGCGACGAGCAAGGAUCUCAUUCUGCUUAGCUUGGUAGAACUGCUUUUGCAUAUCAGUCAUACCACAAGUGUCUAUGAGCAUGACCCUCUCAUCUAAUUCAAACUGUCUCCGUGCAUCCUCCCUCUCGUUUCGUGCAUCCUCCUUUUUCAGCGCAAUCUCCUUUUUUCGCAAUUCAAAUUGCUGUGCAUAGCGAUCAUUUUUUGCCGCCUCUUUGAUGUCAUCCUUCUCUUGCUUUGCUGCCCACACAGUUUCUAAUGACAACUUGCAAGCACUGUCAUCAGCUUUACCUUUCCGCAGUUUGUCCUUCACACCAUCAGGUCUUUGCUAAUGUUCAAGAGCAUCCCUGUGUAUCGAGGUAGCAUCAGUGCGUACUGAGGAUGCAUCAGCUAGAUCAUUGGUGAAUGUGCCCGGACUUGCACCUACAGUCUUCUUUUGUUUCUUACGAGAAGUUUCAAGUUCUUUUGUCUGCCACUUUGGAUACUUCGAAAGCUCGACAUAGCAAUGCAUCAAUGUGAAAGGCUUCUUCUUUUUAAGAUCCAUUUCCUUGAACAUAAUGUGUGCAUCGUUUGUCUGCACAUACAAAUGUAUUGUGAAAAUCUGCACAUCACAUAUAGAAUAUUGCACAACACAUAUAGAAGUACAAGAUAGACACAUACCUUUUCUUCUAUAGUCCUUCCGCUUUCUUCCCUAUUUAAAAUCUGCUGAAGGCAACCACAAAAUCUAGCGGUAUCUUUGUUAAUCAAUGUGUAACGGCAAUUGAUUGCAUUAUCAUUACGCUCCGGCCAUGAUGACAUCUUGUGUGAGUUGUAGUACUCUAAAAUUCUAGCCCAAUAAGCAUCUCUGUUUUGAUCUGUCCCGACACUAUCCAAACUUGCAUUUCCCCAUGCUGCUAUCAAAAUCUUGUCCUCCUCACUAGACCAAUUUUUUCCUUUGUUGGAUUUUGCUUUCUCUGUUAUUGGUGUUGCUUGAUGUUGAGUUGAUGGGGUUGGUUGCUCUUCAAUUGGACUUUCUAGUUGUGUUUGUGUGUAACCAAAACCCAUGGUGUCCAAGAAGCUUUCAUCACCAUCCAUCUGCAAACAAUCAACAAAUACACACAUGAAUCAACAAAUAUGUUAGCAAAUCAAUAUAAUUUUGGUAGUAGUUUCAGAAUUUUUCCCUACAGAGCUCUCUCCCUCCAGCCUCCGCCCCACCCCAGCCCUCCCCACCGAGCUCUCUCCCUCCAGCCCCUCUUUCCCNNNNNNNNNNNNNNNNNNNNNNNNNNNNNNNNNNNNNNNNNNNNNNNNNNNNNNNNNNNNNNNNNNNNNNNNNNNNNNNNNNNNNNNNNNNNNNNNNNNNNNNNNNNNNNNNNNNNNNNNNNNNNNNNNNNNNNNNNNNNNNNNNNNNNNNNNNNNNNNNNNNNNNNNNNNNNNNNNNNNNNNNNNNNNNNNNNNNNNNNNNNNNNNNNNNNNNNNNNNNNNNNNNNNNNNNNNNNNNNNNNNNNNNNNNNNNNNNNNNNNNNNNNNNNNNNNNNNNNNNNNNNNNNNNNNNNNNNNNNNNNNNNNNNNNNNNNNNNNNNNNNNNNNNNNNNNNNNNNNNNNNNNNNNNNNNNNNNNNNNNNNNNNNNNNNNNNNNNNNNNNNNNNNNNNNNNNNNNNNNNNNNNNNNNNNNNNNNNNNNNNNNNNNNNNNNNNNNNNNNNNNNNNNNNNNNNNNNNNNNNNNNNNNNNNNNNNNNNNNNNNNNNNNNNNNNNNNNNNNNNNNNNNNNNNNNNNNNNNNNNNNNNNNNNNNNNNNNNNNNNNNNNNNNNNNNNNNNNNNNNNNNNNNNNNNNNNNNNNNNNNNNNNNNNNNNNNNNNNNNNNNNNNNNNNNNNNNNNNNNNNNNNNNNNNNNNNNNNNNNNNNNNNNNNNNNNNNNNNNNNNNNNNNNNNNNNNNNNNNNNNNNNNNNNNNNNNNNNNNNNNNNNNNNNNNNNNNNNNNNNNNNNNNNNNNNNNNNNNNNNNNNNNNNNNNNNNNNNNNNNNNNNNNNNNNNNNNNNNNNNNNNNNNNNNNNNNNNNNNNNNNNNNNNNNNNNNNNNNNNNNNNNNNNNNNNNNNNNNNNNNNNNNNNNNNNNNNNNNNNNNNNNNNNNNNNNNNNNNNNNNNNNNNNNNNNNNNNNNNNNNNNNNNNNNNNNNNNNNNNNNNNNNNNNNNNNNNNNNNNNNNNNNNNNNNNNNNNNNNNNNNNNNNNNNNNNNNNNNNNNNNNNNNNNNNNNNNNNNNNNNNNNNUUCAGCAGCGGCCCCAGCCCCUCUCUCCCCGCCCUCCCCUCUCCAUGGCGCGCGCCGCCGCCGCCAGAUCCGCCGCCGCCAGAUCUGGCCAGCGGUGUGGAGGCCGCCCGACGUCCCGCGCCUCCUCUCUACCGACGGGAAUGGAAAAUAGAAGGGAGAGAGAGAGCUUACCAGAGGGGAGUGGUCGCCGGCGAGCUUCGAUGGCCUGUGGACGGAGGCGGGAGGAUGGCGGGAGCAGCUCGUUUCUGUCUUCCACGAGCGUGGCCCAGGCGUGUUUAUUUCCACGAGGAGUAGCCUCGUGGGUGGACGUGUAAAACUUACACGCCAGUAUACACGAUCCACUGGGAAGCGUUUUUCAGUUUGCAUCGUGUAUAUUUACCAUCCACCUCCAUAUACACCAUCCACUAGAGAUGCUCUAAAGAUGCUACCAACUCUAGAAUCUGAAUCAAUGAGCUCACAGAGGAGAGUCAAGAAUUUGAGGAGUGGAGGGAAUCCAAACACGCUCUAAAGAUACUAGGAAUUCUAAAACCUAAAUUAAUGAGCUAGCACGUGAGCUGAACCAGCACUUAAACUCAGUUGCGUGCUCCACUCAGUAGCUUUACCCAUAUCUCUUUUAUUAAAGAAGACUUGCCACGUCCGUCCGCUUCCAUCACUUCCAUCCCUACGUUGUUUUUAUUUUCUCUCCAAGCAACCUAUUUGAAAUAAUUUAAAUCAAACCGAUUCUUUCAUUUCCUUGCCCUACUCAUUCCCUAAUAAAUAAAUAAAUAACGCACACAUAGUAACUCGGAGUAAUUUAGAUCAAAUCGGUACUUCUCUUUUCUUGUCCUACUCAUUCUCUCCCUCAAUUUGCUUACUGUUUUUUCAGUCGUGACUAUUCCGAAUGAGGAUCUUGCAGUAAUAUGUAAACUAAUCCUUGAUUCACAUGAAGCAUUUAUGUCAUUAUUACACUAAAUAUUUUUUGUAAAUGUAGUAAUAUUUUAUUACUGUCUUGUGAUGAUAUUGGAUUUUGAAGACGGUGAUGAUGGGUGAACGUAUAUAUGAGUCAUGUGUUGAACCACUAGAAUAUGUAUGCCCCUUUUACAAUGCACAUGCAGUUAGUUAGCGCGUCUAAAGUAAAAGAAGAAGACUGUGCAAAGGGCAUGUACAAUGGCAGGCAUGAUAACCAUCUCUCGAGUAAAAGAGAAGAUUCGGUGUACCCAUACUUAUUCGGAAUCCUCGAAGGGUACAAAAAAUAAGUGAGGCACGAGCUCAUAUCUGUACUUACCACAUAACAAAAUCGUACCAUGUAAAAUUGUUUCAUUGCCCCUAUAUGAAGAGGGGGUUAUAAAUUAUCUCUCGGACCUUUCCCUAUUUGAUACAUGUCAACAUAGGUGUCAAAAGGAAUCAUGGUAGCACAUAAUGAAUUUUGAAACAGCUUAGUAUUUCUUUGAUCGCAGUCACACUUCAUAUCUCUUUCGGCAAUCUAGUUCUACUUACUCUAAUCUUGGACUGCUAAUCAUGCCAAUUAGCCGUCCUCCGUUGGGCACAAUGCUGAUUUGGAAUGAGUGGCAUCGGAAAAUAAACUAGGCCCGGUCAAUACAAGCGUGCGACUACAAGUUUGUCUGGUCCACUUUUGCUGCUACUCCCUCUGGUUCCUAAAACAACGCUUCAAGCUUUGUGGCUAUCAUCUUCAAAAAUAAUGCGUCUGGUUACCUCAGGUUACCUCAUCCAAUGAGCAGGCAUGCCCUGUUUCUGAGAUCCGAGGGAGUAAGCGGCGGAGGACGUGAGGCCUCUUUCCGUGAGUCACUGUAGUGUUUACUAUAGUUACAGUGCUACACCGCACCAAGGCUGCCUGGGUCGGUCUGGGUCUUUGCUUGACCCUUGCACCACCACUGGAAGUAACAAUUAGUCUGAUCUUAUUUUUCAUUGUUAGUUCAGCAACACACAUACGUACUAUGUUUUCUUGUGGCCAUCAGUGACCAUGUUUACAUGUUUAACCACUCUUUGUUGCCUGCACUGAAGAAAGUGAAAAGAACCUUUGGGUUCCUUUGCAUCCCCAAAAUUCUAAAGUACCGCAGGAGUGCUAGUGUAUUUUCCUCUUGUUCUUGGUGUUUCUCCUGUAAGUUGAAACAACCGGUGACUCGUGAAGAAUGAAAGAAAGAGACCAUCAAGGUGAAAAAGAUGUAACUGGCCUCAGUUUACACCGAGGACAAUAAGGUUAGUUGUAAUGGAAGUAUCAUAGAUAGUACUAUAUAUGUCAACUAGACAAUUUUGAUGAGGUGACAUAGAAUUAAAUGAAGAAAGAGAUGGUUUAAUAUCAUAUUAUGAUACCGUAUCAUAUUAAAUAUUGUGUUACUAUACGUCAUGCAUGACAAUAAAUAAAUUAUUUUAUAAUACUAACAUAUGAUACUAUGCAUUAUCCUACAAUAGUAUCAUAUGAUACUAUCCGCAUACAUUUAAAACAUCUUUUAGACCAACAAGACGAAUUACAUGCAAGAUGGAUGAUUUUUAUAUAAAACCAGACAAAAACAUUUACAUUUUUGGCAUAUUUUAACUAAACUAUACAGUGGUCCGGUAAACCUAGUCCACGGCCGACUGCGAAUGAACAUCAUUCCCACGACAUGAAUUCCCCUUGUCCAACAACUGCUCAUCAGAUCGACGGAUGCCAUGAAGGGAUAUGCUUCAGUGAGAGGAAAAUAAUAGCCUCCAUCCGUUUCCAUGAAGCACGGAUCAGAGUUGAUAUUGGGCGGGGAAGACGGCCGCCAUAGUCUAUGCCUUCGCUUACUAGGAAGACACCGGCUGUGUAACCCAGCGAUGUGAUGGCAGUAGCUUUCGUGGGACCCAAGUGACGGCGGCUUACCUUGAUUUUCUUUCAUCGCUGUCUAAGGUACGGUGACCGCGGGCGUACCAACGUCCGCCGACAUGGCUUCUUUCCCCACCCGCAUGACAUGCUGCCAACAUAGAUCAUGACGGAUUUAAUGAGAGACUUUGUUAUCCAGCCUAGAUGGGGGAGGAGGGGGUGUCAAUGGCGAUGGUGGUGGCCCGAGACCCAAGCCAACCUGAACCGGGCAACACAUGCAGCUGCAAUGAUGGGAAACUCAUUCUAUUCGUCGCAGGGCAUGUGGGGUUUUGUGGAUGGAGGAGAUGGAGAGCGGAGGUGAGGUGUGCUUCUUGACUGACGCCUGGACACGUUUAUAUAGCGGGCGAAUGCAAAAAUUUAGCUGCACAGGUGUUUAAUGCUCGUCGGAACAUGAACAAACAUGUGGUGCUGAGGGCGCCGGAGUAGGUUUCUUGGCACACAUGUCGGUUUAAAGGAGGUAGGCAAGCAGACGGAUCCUGUUUCAGUGCAGAGAGAAGGUGUGAACAUCCGGCGAUCAAUGGGUGGUGCUCUCGAGUGGCGAGCCACAUUCAUGUCGGCUCGAGUGAGUGGCCGCGUCCGCUCUGGGCCAGCAUGAAUGCGAGCAUCUAGCAUUGGGCGGGAGCACGAGAGGGCAUGGGAAAUGUGACUGUGAUGGGCCAGGUUAGUCAGAUGCACGCGUGGUAGUGGUCUAGACGCCUGCACCCCCUUCAAGUUUGUUUCUGGUUGGAUGGCAAAAGAGAGCGUCUGGACUGCCAAACAGGCCAAUGUAGACCCGUGUUGGAUGGCAAAACACAUCUAGACCAUCGAACACAUCAACGUAGACCCGCGUUGGACGGCCAAACACAUCCACACCGCGCGAUCCGGACUGUUAUGGAUGGUUUGAGGGUCAGCGUUAAAGAUGUUUUUACUAGUCAAAGUUACAUCCCACUAUGACCAGGCUGACAAAAAUGUAACGGGGCCUAGUCACUGUGUGUUUAUAUUGUGUUGUUAUGUGGUUUCAUUUUCAUGAUGAAACUGGAGCGAGGCCACCCUCUAUUUUCCUUAAAAUAUAAUGUACUCCCUCCUAAAGAAAUAUAAGAGCGUUUAGAUCACUAGUUUAAUGAUCUAAAUGUUCUUAUAUUCCUUUAUAGAGGGAGUAUAACAUAUGAUGCGGAAAUGCAAGAAAAGUUUGAUGUUUAUUGUGUUGAGCUGCAUCAACUAUUUACGCUGUCUAGAUUGAUCAAAGACCUAGAUCUAAUUUAGCUUGAUCAAUAUGAGUCAACAACAGAUAUGAUUGGAGGGGCCGCAUGAUCUGCUUAAGGAAGCCAUUGGAAGACAACAUGGCAAACAGAGGUAGCCUUCAUAGUCAGGUCUGCAACCAAUGCUAAUGAUCAAACGACAACGAAAGAUGGGGCAAAAAUAUGUUACAAUGGCGACCUACAUGGUUAGGUUUUCUUGUACUCCCACCCACGCUGCCGCCGUUCCUCCCCGACUUCGAUGGUCUUUGGGCCAUGGAUGUGCACCCCUAGAGGGAUGAACCCCUCUCCCAUUCUUGUUAGGUUGAACGUCUUGGUUGGGGCUGUGUGGCAGCGGCGAUGCCCCUUGGUAGGAAUAAUGUUUCCCAUAUGCGAUCCCCGCACUGGUGUUUCUAGCAUCGUCGGAGGGUAUAUGGAGGUGUGUCUCCAUCAGAUCUUGUUGGAUUCGGUUGGUGCUGGUCUUUGUUAGUUCUUUUUCAUACAAUCUUUAUCCGUGUGUUUAUAUGUUUUAUCCUUUUGAUCCACGACUCUCUUCAUCAACGUAUGUUGCCGCUUUGUUGCCCUGGUCCCGUGGGGACUUAACACCAACUUUUCAGUUGUCUAUUACAAUAAGAUUUACCUAACUCUAGUGAGGUGGGGGAGGGAGUGAUGAUGAUGGCAUGCCUUUGGCACGAUAGUCAUCCCUAGGUGGUACGUAUAUGGACCUGAUUAAAUUUUUAGUUACCUCUAGUCUUCUGUGUACUAUCCUGAUUGAUCAUCAAUAGGUUGGCAGUUUGUCCAGUAUAAAAUAAAAUCAAAGACCAAGAAAAAUUUGGGGUAAAACACUUUUCCUUUGUAAACAGUACUCAAUGCAUUUUUCGGAUGGAGUUUGAAAUUGGCUCCUUCUCUCGUGAUGGCACGUGUGACUUUGCAAGCUUGCUCAACCCACUCAGCGCAUAGGCGACAACUGCUGUCCUCGCCUUCACUUCUCCAUCAGAAGGCACAAUCGCCCCUCCUUCACCCCCGACCUCCCUUGCUUUCUGAUGACCCACAAGUAUAGGGGAUCAAUCGUAGUCCUUUCGAUAAGUAAGAUUGUCGAACCCAACGAGGAGCAGAAGGCUCUGAUAAACGGAUUUCAGCAAGGUAAUAACUGCAAGCACUGAAAGUAGCGGUAACAAGUGAUUGUGUAGCGAGGUGAAACAUAGCAAGCAAAGAGUAACAAGUAACAAGUAGUAGCAACGGUGCAGCAAGUGGCCCAAUCCCUUUUGUAGCAAGGGACAAGCCUGAACAAAGUCUUAUAGGAGGAAAAACGCUCCCGAGGACACACGGGAAUUUCUGUCAUGCUAGUUUCAUCAUAUUCAUAUGAUUCGCGUUUGUUACUUUGAUAGUUUGAUAUGUGGGUGGACCGGCGCUUGGGUACUGCUCUUACUUGGACAAGCAUCCCACUUAUGAUUAACCUCUCUCGCAAGCAUCCUCAACUACAAAAUAAGAAUUAAGACAAAGUCUAACCAUAGCAUUAAACUAGUGGAUCCAAAUCAGCCCCUCACGAAGCUACGCAUAGACUGGGGUUUAAGCUUCUGUCACUCCAGCAACCCAUUGUCUACUUACUACUUACCAAUGCCUUCCUCUAGGCCCAAAUAUGGUGAAGUGUUAUGUAGUCGACGUUCACAUAACACCACUAGAGUAAAAACAACAUACAACAUAUCAAAAUACCGAACGAAUAUCAAAUUCACAUGACUAUUAUUAACAUGACUUAUCCCAUGUCCUCAGGAACAAAAGUAACUACUCACAAAACAUAAUCAUAAUCAUGAUCAGAGGUGUAAUGAAUAGCAUCAAGGAUCUGAACAUAAACUCUUCCACCAAGUAAUCCAACUAGCAUCAACUACAAAGAGUAAUCAACACUACUAGCAACCUUACGAGUACCAAUCGGAGUCGCGAGACGAAGAUUGGUUACAAGAGAUGAACUAGGGAUUGGAGAGGAGAUGGUGCUGAUGAAGAUGCUGAUGAUGAUGCCUCCCCUCCGACGAGAGGAGUGUUGGUGAUGACGAUGGCGACGGUUCCCCCCUCCGGGAGGGAAGUUUCCCCGGCAGGAUCGUCCUGCCGGAGCUCUAGAUUGGAUCUGCUCAAGUUCCGCCUCAUGACGGCGGCGAAACCACUAAAAAGCUCCCUAUUGAUUUUUUUCUAGACCAGGACGCUUCAUAUAGCAAAAGAGGGGGGGGGGGCUAGUGGGCCGUCAGGCAGCCCACAAGCCUGCCCUGCGCCACCAGGGGGGUGGUGGCGGUGGGCAAGCUUGUGGAGCCCUGGUGGCCCCCCUCCGGUAGUUCUUCGCCCAGUAUUUUUUAUAUAAUCCAGAAAAAAUCCACGUAACUUUUCNNNNNNNNNNNNNNNNNNNNNNNNNNNNNNNNNNNNNNNNNNNNNNNNNNNNNNNNNNNNNNNNNNNNNNNNNNNNNNNNNNNNNNNNNNNNNNNNNNNNNNNNNNNNNNNNNNNNNNNNNNNNNNNNNNNNNNNNNNNNNNNNNNNNNNNNNNNNNNNNNNNNNNNNNNNNNNNNNNNNNNNNNNNNNNNNNNNNNNNNNNNNNNNNNNNNNNNNNNNNNNNNNNNNNNNNNNNNNNNNNNNNNNNNNNNNNNNNNNNNNNNNNNNNNNNNNNNNNNNNNNNNNNNNNNNNNNNNNNNNNNNNNNNNNNNNNNNNNNNNNNNNNNNNNNNNNNNNNNNNNNNNNNNNNNNNNNNNNNNNNNNNNNNNNNNNNNNNNNNNNNNNNNNNNNNNNNNNNNNNNNNNNNNNAUAACACCACUAGAGUAAAAACAACAUACAACAUAUCAAAAUACCGAACGAAUAUCAAAUUCACAUGACUAUUAUUAACAUGACUUAUCCCAUGUCCUCAGGAACAAAAGUAACUACUCACAAAACAUAAUCAUAAUCAUGAUCAGAGGUGUAAUGAAUAGCAUCAAGGAUCUGAACAUAAACUCUUCCACCAAGUAAUCCAACUAGCAUCAACUACAAAGAGUAAUCAACACUACUAGCAACCUUACGAGUACCAAUCGGAGUCGCGAGACGAAGAUUGGUUACAAGAGAUGAACUAGGGAUUGGAGAGGAGAUGGUGCUGAUGAAGAUGCUGAUGAUGAUGCCUCCCCUCCGACGAGAGGAGUGUUGGUGAUGACGAUGGCGACGGUUCCCCCCUCCGGGAGGGAAGUUUCCCCGGCAGGAUCGUCCUGCCGGAGCUCUAGAUUGGAUCUGCUCAAGUUCCGCCUCAUGACGGCGGCGAAACCACUAAAAAGCUCCCUAUUGAUUUUUUUCUAGACCAGGACGCUUCAUAUAGCAAAAGAGGGGGGGGGGGCUAGUGGGCCGUCAGGCAGCCCACAAGCCUGCCCUGCGCCACCAGGGGGGUGGUGGCGGUGGGCAAGCUUGUGGAGCCCUGGUGGCCCCCCUCCGGUAGUUCUUCGCCCAGUAUUUUUUAUAUAAUCCAGAAAAAAUCCACGUAACUUUUCAGGGUAUUUGGAGAUGUGCAGAAUAGUGGACUAGGAUUUGCUCCUUUUCCAGUCCAGAAUUUCAGCUGCCUGAAUUCUCCUCUUCAAAUAAACCUUGCAAAAUAAGAGAGAAAAGGCAUAAAUAUGGUACCACAAGUAAUAUAACAGCCCCAAAAGCAAUAAAUAUCAACAUGAAAGCAUGAUGCAAAAUGGACGUAUCAACUCCCCCAAGCUUAGACCUCGCUUGUCCUGAAGCGAAAACGAAGAUCCAUAAACAUGUCCACAUGUUGAGGGACAAAGGUGUCGAUAAAACAUAAUACAGACAUGAGGGCAUCAUGAUCGCACAUAGAACAACAAUACAUCAUAAAGAUUCUUAUGGGAAAGUAACAAUUCCUUUACAAAGCAAAGCAUGAAGCAAAAACCUUACCGUGAAGUAACCAACAAUAGUCCAUAGUCAUUGAAACAAUUGCAAUUUAUCACAACAUCACAAAGAGUCAAAUAAGAGCUUGUAAGGCAAACCCACAUACUCAAUCAUCUCUUUCAUUUUCCACAAUUGUUACAACUCACGUGGUACUCAUGGUGUCAAAGUUUCAGCUGGACACAGAGGAAGAUAGGGGCUUAUAGUUUUGCCUCCCAACGGUUUACCUCAAGGAUAAAGUCAACAAUAAUAAAGCAUGAGUACUCAACUCCAAGUUGAUAUAUGAAUAUAGAUCUUUCCCAAGCAUGUGACGGUAGCCAAGACAAAGGCAAAAAGGGAAUUGGUGAAGAUCACCAUGACUCUUCCAAGGGUAAAAAGUAAAGGUACAAGAUAGGCCCUUCGUAGAGGGAAGCAGAGGUUGUCAUGCGCUUUUGAGGUUUGAAUGCGUGUCUUCUUAGUGCGGAGGAACGUCACUUUAUAUUGCCUCCUGUGAUAAAGAACUUUAUUAUACAGUCUGUCGCUUUUAUGUCUUCCUCAUCACAGGUUCGUACAAAGCUUAUUUUCCACACACUAAUAGAUCAUACAUAUUAGAGAGCAAUGUUUAUUGCUUGCACCGAUGACAACUUACUUGAAGGAUCUUAUUCAAUCCAUAGGUAGGUAUGAUGGACUCUCAUGGCAAAACUGGUUGGAGGUUUAUGGAUGCACAAGUAGUAUCUCUACUUGGUGCGGGAGUUUUGGCUAAUAUGAGGUGGAAGCAAUCGUCACAUGCUAAGGGAUCUCUAAUCAUAUAACAUUGUUUGGAACCAAGCAAACACAAUUCAUUAUAUUGUCUUCCUUGUCCAACAUCUACUCCUAGGCAUGUAAUAGUUUGGUGAGUGCCCACAAUUGUAAAAAGUGUCUAAGAUGAUAUAUUUAUAUGUGAACCUCUCUUUCCUUAUUACUUCUUAUUAAUUGCAACAAUGACUGAGGUCUAUGUUGAUUUAUUAUCAACAAGUUUCAAUCAUCAUAUGUGUCAUAAGUGAAGUUAUCACUUUCCAUAAGAUCAUCUCAUGAUCUUUCAUGCUAUCGUUCUUUUCAUAUUUUUUAAUCAUGGCACAAAGCAAAGCCCUUAACUAAGACACUCUUUAUUAUAUAGCUCGUAAGCUCGAAUACAUCGGGGGAGAGACAAAAGCAAAAGACUCAAACUAAAAACUAAAGACUUAUUCCUCUAAAAGAAGAAAUAAAAACUGAAAAGGAAAGAACUAAAACAAAGGUAAAAGCAAAAGAUAUAAAGGUGAUACGAUACCAGGGCAACUCCCCCAAGCUUGGCAGAAGCCAAGGGGAUUGCCCAUAGCAAUGCUUAGUUGUCUUCCUUUGGUGGUGAUGGUGGUGUGGUGUUGUUGGAGCAGUCUUGAGCUUGUCUAAUUUCCACUUGAGCAAAAAGUUCUGCUCCCUUAGAUCGUCAUUUUCCUCCUCAAGUUUCAAAACUCUAUGGCAAAGCUCCUAUUUACUCUCCGAAAUAGAUACAUCUUCGUUUUCAAGGUCUGAAACAGGCUGAUAAACAUCCCUUAUGUACUCCACUGGAGUCAUGACAUUGAUGAUAUGGUCUCAACAUUUAUGGGAGUAACGUAGAUGUAAUGCUUGAUUCUUUGCCCAUUUACCACUCUAGGAAAAUUUCCUUUCGUGUUAUUGAUUUUGAUGGCACCGGAACAAUAUACUUCCCCGACAACAUAGGGACCUUCCCAUUUAGAGAGAAGCUUGCCUGCAAUGAAUCUCAAACGAGAAUUGUAUAGCAAGACAUAAUCACCUACAUUGAACUCUCGUUUCUGUAUUCGUUUGUCGUGCCAUCUCUUAACCUUUUCCUUGAACAACUUGGCAUUCUCAUAUGCCUGGGCUCUCCAUUCAUCUAACGAGCUGAUAUCAAACAACCGCUUCUCACCGACAAGUUUGAAAUCAAAGUUGAGCUCUUUGAUUGCCCAAUAAGCUUUGUGUUCUAGCUCAAGAGGUAAAUGACAGGCCUUACCGUAAACCAUUUUAUACGGUGACAUGCCCAUGGGAUUCUUAUAAGCAGUCCUAUAAGCCCAUAGUGCAUCGUCAAGUUUGCUAGACCAGUUCUUUCGAGAUCUAUUGACGGUCUUUUGUAGGAUCAACUUGAUCUCCCUAUUACUCAACUCCACUUGACCACUAGACUGAGGAUGAUAAGGAGAUGCAACUCUAUGGUUGACAUCAUACUUAGCUAGCAUCUUGCGGAAAACACCAUGAAUGAAGUGUGAACCGCCAUCAGUAAUCAAGUAUCUAGGGACUCCAAAUCUUGGGAAUAUGACUUCUUUAAGCAUCUUAAUACAGGUGUGGUGAUCAACAUUUUUAGUGGGGAUAGCCUCUACCCACUUAGUGUUGGGGAACGUCGCAAGGGAAACAAAAAAUUUCCUACGCGCACGAAGACCUAUCAUGGUGAUGUCCAUCUACGAGAGGGGAUGAGUGAUCUACGUACCCUUGUAGAUCGUACAGCAGAAGCGUUAGUGAACGCGGUUGAUGUAGUGGAACGUCCUCACGUCCCUCGAUCCGCCCGGCGAACAAUCCCGCGAUCAGUCCCACGAUCUAGUACCGAACGGACGGCACCUCCGCGUUCAGCACACGUACAGCUCGACGAUGAUCUCGGCCUUCUUGAUCCAGCAAGAGAGACGGAGAGGUAGAAGAGUUCUCCGGCAGCGUGACCGCUCUCCGGAGGUUGGUGAUGAUCUUGUCUCAGCAGGGCUCCGCCCGAGCUCCGCAGAAACGCGAUCUAGAGGAAAAACUAUGGAGGUAUGUGGUCGGGCAGCCGUGAGAAAGUCGUCUCAAAUCAGCCCUAAAACCUCCGUAUAUAUAGGUGGGAGGGAGGGGAGGAGGCAGCCUCAAAACCUAAAGGUUUGGCCGAAAUUGGAGGUGGAGGAGUCCUACUCCAAUCCUACUUGGAGUAGGAUUCCACCUUCCCACUUGGAAACUCUUUCCACCUUGUGUUUUUUCCUUCUCAAACCUUAUGGGCCUUAGUGGGAACUUAUUCCAGCCCACUAGGGGCUGGUUUAUCUCUUCCCAUAGCCCAUGAGACCCCUUGGGGCGUGACACCCCUCCCGAUGGUCCCCGGCACCCCUCCCGGCACUCCCGGUACACUACCGAUGAGCCCGAAACUUUUCCGGUAAUGCACGAAAACCUUCCGGUAACCAAAUGAGGUCAUCCUAUAUAUCAAUCUUCGUUUCCGGACCAUUCCGGAAACCCUCGUGACGUCCGUGAUCUCAUCCGGGACUCCGAACAACAUUCGGUAACCAACCAUAUAACUCAAAUACGCAUAAAACAACGUCGAACCUUAAGUGUGCAGACCCUGCGGGUUCGAGAACUAUGUAGACAUGACCCGAGAGACUCCUCGGUCAAUAUCCAAUAGCGGGACCUGGAUGCCCAUAUUGGAUCCUACAUAUUCUACGAAGAUCUUAUCGUUUGAACCUCAGUGCCAAGGAUUCAUAUAAUCCCGUAUGUCAUUCCCUUUAUCCUUCGGUAUGUUACUUGCCCGAGAUUCGAUCGUCAGUAUCCGUAUACCUAUUUCAAUCUCGUUUACUGGCAAGUCUCUUUACUCGUUCCGUAAUACAAGAUCCCGCAACUUACACUAAGUUACAUUGCUUGCAAGGCUUGUGUGUGAUGUUGUAUUACCGAGUGGGCCCCGAGAUACCUCUCCGUUCACACGGAGUGACAAAUCCCAGUCUUGAUCCAUACUAACUCAACUAACACCUUCGGAGAUACCUGUAGAGCAUCUUUAUAGUCACCCAGUUACGUUGCGACGUUUGAUACACACAAAGCAUUCCUCCGGUGUCAGUGAGUUAUGUGAUCUCAUGGUCAUAGGAAUAAAUACUUGACACGCAGAAAACAGUAGCAACAAAAUGACACGAUCAACAUGCUACGUCUAUUAGUUUGGGUCUAGUCCAUCACAUGAUUCUCCUAAUGAUGUGAUCCCGUUAUCAAGUGACAACACUUGCCUAUGGCCAGGAAACCUUGACCAUCUUUGAUUAACGAGCUAGUCAACUAGAGGCUUACUAGGGACAGUGUUUUGUCUAUGUAUCCACACAAGUAUUGUGUUUCCAAUCAAUACAAUUAUAGCAUGGAUAAUAAAUUAUUAUCAUGAACUAAGAAAUAUAAUAAUAACUAAUUUAUUAUUGCCUCUAGGGCAUAUUUCCAACAGUCUCCCACUUGCACUAGAGUCAAUAAUCUAGUUCACAUCACCAUGUGAUUCCAACGAAUCCAACACCCAUAUAGUUAUGGGGUCUAUCACGUCUUGCUCGUGAGAGAGGUUUUAGUCAACGGUUCUGAAACUUUCAGAUUCGUGCAUUCUUUACAAAUCUUUAUGUCAUCUUAUAGAUGCUGCUACUACGUGCUAUUCGGAAAUGGUCCAAAUAUCUACUCUACUAUACGAAUCCGUUUCACUACUCAUAGUUAUCCGGAUUAGUGUCAAAGCUUGCAUUGACGUAACCCUUUACGACAAACUCUUUAACCACCUCCAUAAUCGAGAAAAAUUCCUUAGUCCAUUAGUUACUAAGGAUAAAUUUCGACCGCUGCUAGUGAUUCAAUCAUGGAUCACUCUCUGUACCUCUCAACAUACUUUGAGUCAAGGCACACUUCAGGUGCGGUACACAGCAUGGCAUACUUUAGAUUCUAUGGCUAAGGCAUAGAAGACGACCUUCGUCUAUUCUCUUUAUUCUGCCGUGGUCGGGUUUUGAGUCUUACUCAAAUUCACACCUCACAACGCAACCAAGAACUCCUUCUUUGCUGGUCUAUUUUGAACUCUUUCAAAAACUUGUCAAGGCAUGCAUCUUGUUUAAACUUCUAUUAAGCGCUUUCGAUCUAUCUCCAUAGAUCUUUGAUGCUCAACGUUCAAGUAGCGUAAUCCAGGUACUCCUUUGAAAACUUCUUUCAAACAACCUUGUAUGCUUUACAGAAAUUCUACAUUACUUCUGAUCCACAAUAUGUCAACCACAUAUACCUAUCAGAAAUUCUAUAGUGCUCCCACUCACUUCUUUGGAAAUACAAGUUUCUCAUAAACCUUGUACACACCCAAAAUCUUUGAUCAUCUCAUCAAAGUGUAUAUUCCAACUCCGAGAUGCUUGCACCAGUCCAUUGAAGGAUCACUGGAGCUUGCAUACUUGCUAGUAUCUUUAGGAUCGACAAAACCUUCUCGUUGUAUCACAUACAAUGUUUGCUCAAGGAAACCGUCGAGAAAACAAUGUUUUGACAUCCUACGUGCAAUAUUUCAUAAAUAAUGCAUCAACAACUAACAUAAUUCUAACAGACCUUUAGCAUCGCUACGAGUGAGAAAGUCUCAUCAUAGUCAACUGUUUGAUCUUGUCGAAAACAUCUUUGCGACAAGUCGAGCUUUUCUUAAUAGUGACUUGUCACCAUCAUCGUCUGUCUUCUUUUGAAGAUCCAUUUUACCCAAUAGUCCCAUGACCAUCAAGUAGUUCUACCAAAGUCUACACUUUGGUUUCACACAUGGAUCCUCUCUCGCAUUUCAUGGCUUCCAGCCAUUUGUCGGAAUCUGGGCCCACCAUCGCUUUCUCCAUAACUCGUAGGUUCACUGUUGCUCAACAACAUGACCUCCAAGACAGGGUUACCGUACUACUCUGCAGCAGUACGCGACCUUGUCGACCUACGAGGUUUGUAGUAACUUGAUUCGAAGCUCAAUGAUCACCAUCAUCAGCUUCCACUUCAAUUGGUGUAGGCGCCACAGGAACAACUUCCUACGCCCUGCUACACACUGGUUGAAGUGAUGGUUCAAUAACCUCAUAAAGUUCUACUACCCUCCCACUCAAUUCUUUCGAGAGAAACCUUUUCUCGAGAAAGGAUCCGUUUCUAGAAACAAACACUUUGCUUUCGGAUCUGAGAUAGGAGAUGUACCCAACUGUUUUGGAUAUCCUAUGAAGAUGCAUUUAUCCGCUUUGGGUUCGAGCUUAUCAGACUGAAACUUUUUCACAUAAGUGUCGAAGCCCCAAACUUUCAAGAAACGACAGUUUAGAUUUCUCUAAACCUCAGUCUAUACUGUGUCAUCUCAACGGAAAUACGCGGUGCCCUAUUUAAAGUGAAUGCGGUUGUCUCUAAUGCAUAACCCAUAAACGAUAGUGGUAAUUCGAUAAGAGACAUCACAGCAUGCACCAUACUAAAUAGUGCGUGGCUAUGACGUUCAGACACAUCAUCACACUAUGAUGUUCCAGGUGGCAUGAACUGUGAAACAAUUUCCACAUUGUCUUAACUGUGUACCAAAAACUCGUAACUCAGAUAUUCAUUUUUAUGAUCAUAUCGUAGACAGUUCAUCCUCUUGUUACGACGAACUUCACUCUGAAACGGAAUUGAACUUUUCAAUAUUUCAGACUUGUGAUUCAUUAAGUAAAUACUCCUGUAUCUACUCAAGUCGUCAGUGAAGUAAGAACAUAAUGAUAUCCACUGCGUGCCUCAGCACUCAUUGGACUGCAUACAUCAAAAUGUAUCACUUCCAACAAGUUACUAUCUUGUUUGAUCUCAAUGAAAACAAGGCCUUGCUCAUGUGGUAUGAUUUGCAUGUCACUAGUGAUUCGAAAUCAGGUGAGUAAAGAUCCAUCAGCAUGGAGCCUCUUCAUGCAAUUUAUACUAACAUGACUCAAGCGGCAGUGCCACAAGUAAGUGGUACUAUCAUCAUUAACUCGUAUCUUUUGGCACCAAUGUGUAACACUACAAUCGAGAUUCAAUAAACCAUUGAAGGUGAUUAUUCAAGCAAAUAGAGUAACCAUUAUUCUCUUUGAAUGAAUAAUCGUAUUGCAAUAAACACGAUCCAAUCAUGUUCAUGCCUAACGCAAGCACCAAAUAACAAUUAUUUAGGUUCAACACCAAUCCCGAUGGUAGAGGGAGCGUGCGACGUUUGAUCAUAUCAACCUUGGAAACACUUCCAACACUAUGUAUAUCAAAUAUACUUCUUUCGACUUUUGCCAGCCUUCUUAUCUACCAAGUAUCUAGAGUUGCUCCGCCUCAGUGACUGUUCCCCUUAUUACAGAAGCACUUAGUCUCGGGUUUGGGUUUAAUCUUGGGUCUCUUCAUUAGCGCAGCAACUGUUUUGCCGUUUCACGAAGUAUCCCUUCUAGCCCUCGCCUUUCUUGAAACUUAGUGGUUUUCCAAACCAUCAACUAUUGAUGCUCCUUCUUGAUUUCUACUUUCGCAGUGUCAAACGUCGCGAAUCGCUCAAGGAUCAUUGUAUCUAUCCUUGAUAUGUCAUAGUUCAUCACGAAGCUCUCAAAGCUUGGUGGCAGUGACUUUUGGAGAACCAUCACUAUCUCAUCUGGAAGAUUAGCUCCCACUUGAUUCAAGUGAUUGUCGUACUCAGACAAUCUGAGCACAUGCUCAACGAUUGAGCUUUUCUCCUUUACUUUGUGGUCAAAGAAUCUUGUUGGAGGUCUAGUACCUCUUAACAAGGGCACAAGCAUGAAAUCACAAUUGCAUCUCUUCGGAACAUCACUUAUGUUCCGUGACGUUUUACAACGUUUUCGGCGCCUUGCUUCUAAGCCAUCAAGUAUCUUGCACUGAACUAUCGUGUAGUCAUCAGUAAUGUGUAUGUCGGAUGUUCAUAGCAUCCACAGACGACGCUCGAGGUGCAGCACACCGAGUGGUGCAUUAAGGACAUAAGCCUUCUGCGCAGCAACGAGGACAAUCCUCGGUUUUACAGACUCAGUCUGCAAAGUUUGCUACUAUCAACUUUCAACUAAAUUUUCUCUAGGAACAUAUAAAACAGUAGAGCUAUAGCGCAAGCUACAUCGUAAUUCGCAAAGACCAUUAGACUAUGUUCAUGACAAUUAGUUCAGUUAAUCAUAUUACUUAAGAACUCCCACUCAAAAAGUACAUCUCUCUAGUCAUUUGAGUGGUACAUGAUCCAAAUCCACUAUCUCAAGUCCGAUCAUCACGUGAGUCGAGAAUAGUUUCAGUGGUAAGCAUCCCUAUGCUAAUCAUAUCAACUAUACGAUUCAUGCUCGACCUUUCGGUCUCAUGUGUUCCGAGGCCAUGUCUGCACAUGCUAGGCUCGUCAAGCUUAACCCGAGUGUUCUGCGUGUGCAACUGUUUUGCACCCGUUGUAUGUGAACGUUGAGUCUAUCACACCCGAUCAUCACGUGGUGUCUCGAAACGAAGAACUGUCGCAACGGUGCACAGUCGGGGAGAACACAACUUCGUCUUGAAAUUUUAGUGAGAGAUCACCUCAUAAUGCUACCGUCGUUCUAAGCAAAAUAAGGUGCAUAAAAGGAUUAACAUCACAUGCAAUUCAUAAGUGACAUGAUAUGGCCAUCAUCACGUGCUUCUUGAUCUCCAUCACCAAAGCACCGGCACGAUCUUCUUGUCACCGGCGCCACACCAUGAUCAUCCAUCAACGUGUUGCCAUCGUGGUUGUCGUGCUACUUAUGCUAUCACUACUAAAGCUACAGCCUAGCAAAAUAGUAAACGCAUCUGCAAGCACAUAUGUUAGUAUAAAGACAACCCUAUGGCUCCUGCCGGUUGCCGUACCAUCGACGUGCAAGUCGAUAUUUCUAUUACAACAUGAUCAUCUCAUACAUCCAAUAUAUCACAUCACAUCGUUGGCCACAUCAUAUCACAAUCAUACCCUGCAAAAACAAGUUAGACGUCCUCUAAUUUUGUUGUUGCAUGUUUUACGUGGUGACCAAGGGUAUCUAGUAGGAUCGCAUCUUACUUACGCAAACACCACAACGGAGAUAUAUGAGUUGCUAUUUAACCUCAUCCAAGGACCUCCUCGGUCAAAUCCGAUUCAACUAAAGUUGGAGAAACCGACACUUGCCAGUCAUCUUUGAGCAAAGGGGGUUACUCGUAACGAUGAAACCAGUCUCUCGUAAUCGUACGAGUAAUGUCGGUCCAAGCCGCUUCAAUCCAACAAUACCGCGGAAUCAAGAAAAGACUAAGGAGGGCAGCAAAACGCACAUCACCGCCCACAAAACCUUUUGUGUUCUACUGGAGAAGACAUCUACGCAUGAACCUAGCUCAUGAUGCCACUGUUGGGGAACGUCGCAAGGGAAACAAAAAAUUUCCUACGCGCACGAAGACCUAUCAUGGUGAUGUCCAUCUACGAGAGGGGAUGAGUGAUCUACGUACCCUUGUAGAUCGUACAGCAGAAGCGUUAGUGAACGCGGUUGAUGUAGUGGAACGUCCUCACGUCCCUCGAUCCGCCCUGCGAACAAUCCCGCGAUCAGUCCCACGAUCUAGUACCGAACGGACGGCACCUCCGCGUUCAGCACACGUACAGCUCGACGAUGAUCUCGGCCUUCUUGAUCCAGCAAGAGAGACGGAGAGGUAGAAGAGUUCUCCGGCAGCGUGACGGCGCUCCGGAGGUUGGUGAUGAUCUUGUCUCAGCAGGGCUCCGCCCGAGCUCCGCAGAAACGCGAUCUAGAGGAAAAACUAUGGAGGUAUGUGGUCGGGCAGCCGUGAGAAAGUCGUCUCAAAUCAGCCCUAAAACCUCCGUAUAUAUAGGUGGGAGGGAGGGGAGGAGGCAGCCUCAAAACCUAAAGGUUUGGCCGAAAUUGGAGGUGGAGGAGUCCUACUCCAAUCCUACUUGGAGUAGGAUUCCACCUUCCCACUUGGAAACUCUUUCCACCUUGUGUUUUUUCCUUCUCAAACCUUAUGGGCCUUAGUGGGAACUUAUUCCAGCCCACUAGGGGCUGGUUUAUCUCUUCCCAUAGCCCAUGAGACCCCUUGGGGCGUGACACCCCUCCCGAUGGUCCCCGGCACCCCUCCCGGCACUCCCGGUACACUACCGAUGAGCCCGAAACUUUUCCGGUAAUGCACGAAAACCUUCCGGUAACCAAAUGAGGUCAUCCUAUAUAUCAAUCUUCGUUUCCGGACCAUUCCGGAAACCCUCGUGACGUCCGUGAUCUCAUCCGGGACUCCGAACAACAUUCGGUAACCAACCAUAUAACUCAAAUACGCAUAAAACAACGUCGAACCUUAAGUGUGCAGACCCUGCGGGUUCGAGAACUAUGUAGACAUGACCCGAGAGACUCCUCGGUCAAUAUCCAAUAGCGGGACCUGGAUGCCCAUAUUGGAUCCUACAUAUUCUACGAAGAUCUUAUCGUUUGAACCUCAGUGCCAAGGAUUCAUAUAAUCCCGUAUGUCAUUCCCUUUGUCCUUCGGUAUGUUACUUGCCCGAGAUUCGAUCGUCAGUAUCCGUAUACCUAUUUCAAUCUCGUUUACUGGCAAGUCUCUUUACUCGUUCCGUAAUACAAGAUCCCGCAACUUACACUAAGUUACAUUGCUUGCAAGGCUUGUGUGUGAUGUUGUAUUACCGAGUGGGCCCCGAGAUACCUCUCCGUUCACACGGAGUGACAAAUCCCAGUCUUGAUCCAUACUAACUCAACUAACACCUUCGGAGAUACCUGUAGAGCAUCUUUAUAGUCACCGAGUUACGUUGCGACGUUUGAUACACAUAAAGCAUUCCUCCGGUGUCAGUGAGUUAUGUGAUCUCAUGGUCAUAGGAAUAAAUACUUGACACGCAGAAAACAGUAGCAACAAAAUGACACGAUCAACAUGCUACGUCUAUUAGUUUGGGUCUAGUCCAUCACAUGAUUCUCCUAAUGAUGUGAUCCCGUUAUCAAGUGACAACACUUGCCUAUGGCCAGGAAACCUUGACCAUCUUUGAUUAACGAGCUAGUCAACUAGAGGCUUACUAGGGACAGUGUUUUGUCUAUGUAUCCACACAAGUAUUGUGUUUCCAAUCAAUACAAUUAUAGCAUGGAUAAUAAACGAUUAUCAUGAACUAAGAAAUAUAAUAAUAACUAAUUUAUUAUUGCCUCUAGGGCAUAUUUCCAACACUUAGUAACGUAAUCCACAGCAACUAAGAUGUGAGUGUACCCACUGGAACUCGGGAAGGGUCCCAUAUAAUCAAAGCCCCAGACAUCAAAUGGUUCAAUGACAAGUGAAUAGUUCAUAGGCAUUUCCUGACGCUUACUGAUGUUCCCUAUUCUUUGGCAUUCGUCACAAGACAAGACAAACUUACGAGCAUCCUUGAAGAGAGUGGGCCAAUAGAAACCUGAUUGCAAUACCUUAUGGGCAGUUCUAUCUCCAGCGUGGUGUCCUCUGUAGGCUUCGAAAUGACACUUCUGCAAGAUCUGUCCCUGUUCAUGUUCACGCACACAACGUCUAAUAACACCAUCUACUCCUUCCUUAUAAAGGUGAGGAUCAUCCCAAAAGUAGUGUCUCAAAUCAAAGAAGAAUUUCUUCUUUUGCUGAUCGGUGAAACUGGGUGGUAUGUAUUUGGCUACGGUAUAGUUUGCAUAAUCGGCAUACCACGGUGCACUAUGUGAAGUGCGGAUGACAUUUAGUUGCUCAUCAGGAAAGCUGUCAUCAAUUGGUAGUGGGUCAUCAAGGACAUUCUCUAGCCUAGACAAGUUAUCUGCUACAGGGUUAUCAGCACCCUUUCGGUCAACGACGUGCAAAUCAAAUUCCUGUAGCAGGAGAACCCAUCUGAUCAGCCUAGGUUUAGCAUCCUUCUUCUCCAUAAGGUACUUAAUAGCAGCAUGAUCAGAGUGAAUAGUGACUUUGGAUUCAACUAUAUAAGAUCUGAACUUUUCACAUGCAAACACGACUGCUAAAAAUUCCUUCUCCGUAGUGGCAUAGUUUCUUUGGGCACUGUCUAGAGUUUUACUAGUGUAGUGAAUGACAUUCAACUUCUUGUCAACUCUUUGUCCUAGAAAAACACCACCAGCAUAAUCACUAGCGUCACACAUGAUUUCAAAGGGCAAGUUCCAGUCAGGUGGUUGAACAAUAGGCGCGGUUAUCAAAGCCUUCUUAAGUAUUUGAAAGGCUUCCUCACAAUCCUCAUCAAAAACAAAAGGAACAUCCUUCUACAAGAGGUUGUUAAGAGGCCUAGAAAUCUUAGAGAAGUCUUUAAUGAACCUUCUAUAGAAACCAGCAUGACCUAGGAAACUUCGUAUACCUCUGAUAUCUGUGGGGCAAGGCAUUUUCUCAAUUGCAUCAACCUUAGCCUUAUCAACUUCAAUGCCUCUUUCAGAGAUUUUGUGUCCUAAGACGAUACCUUCAUUAACCAUAAAGUGGCACUUCUCCCAAUCCAAGACGAGGUUGGUUUCUUCGCAUCUCUGUAAGACUCGAUCAAGGUUGCUGAGGCAAUCAUCAAAGGAAGACCCGUAAACGGAGAAGUCAUCCAUGAAAACCUCGACGAUCUUUUCACAAAAGUCAAAGAAUAUAGCCAUCAUACAUCAUAACCGUCUAGAAAACAGAAGUGUGUGUGUUUUGAUAGCGUUUCUAGCAUUUGGUCGAUGAACGGCAAAGGGUAAUGAUCUUUCCUAGUUGCCUUGUUCAGUUUCCGGAAGUCUAUCACCAUUCUAUAGCCGAUAAUAAUCCUUUGUGGGAUUAGUUCAUCCUUAUCAUUAGGAACGACGGUGAUACCUCCCUUCUUAGGUACGCAAUGUACUGGACUUACCCAAUCACUAUGAGCAACAGGAUAAAUGAUUCCUUCUUCCAGAAGCUUUAAUAUUUCUUUUCUACCGACCUCUUUCAUCUUAGGAUUUAAUCUCCUUUGAUGAUCAGCAACUGGUUUAAAGUCAGGAUCGGUUUUAAUCUUGUGCUGACAUAGAGUAGGACUAAUACCCUUAAGAUCAUCAAGAGUAUAUCCAAUAGAAGCGCGGUGCUUCCUCAGAGUUUUUAGUAACUUCUUCUCUUCGCGCUCUGAGAGGAGAGCACUAAUAAUGACAGGAUAUAUCUCCUUCUCAUCAAGAUAGGCAUACUUAAGAGUAUCAGGCAACUGUUUAAGCUCGAACACAGGAUCACCCUUUGGUGGGGGAGGAUCCCCAAGCAGUUCAACAAGCAGAUUAUUCUUAAGAAUAGGAUAUUGUUCUAAGACAAUUUUAUCUAUCUCAUCUCUCUCCUCCAUAUGCAUAUCAUUUUCAUGCUCAAGCAGAUAUUGCUCUAAAGGAUCCGUAGGAGGUACGACAAUAGAGGCAAGAGCAAUGAUUUCAUCUCUACCAGACGACUCUCUUUCAUGCGUUUGUCUUCCAAACUUGGAGAAGUUAAAUUCAUGAGACACACCCUCGAAACUUUCUCUGACAGUCUGCUUAAUGCAAUCAAUGUGAGCAUUGACAGUGUUGAGAAAGGGUCUACCAAAUAUGAUGGGACAAAAGCUAUCUUGUGCAGUACCAAGGACGAGGAAAUCAGUAGGAUACUUCGUCUUACCACACAUGACUUCUACGUCUCUCACAAUUCCCAGAGGGCAGAUAGUGUCUCUAUUAGCUAGCGUAAUAGUGACAUCAAUGGAUUCUAACUCAGCAGGUGCAAUCUCAUCUUUGAUUUCAUCAUAUAGAGAACGGGGUAUUGCACUAACACUAGCUCCCGUAUCACAUAAACCAUGGUAACAGUGAUCUCCUAUCUUGACAGAAACAACGGGCAGGCCAACUACAGGUCCGUGUUUGUCUUUCGCGUGAGGUUUAGCAAUUCUAGCGGAGUCCUCACAGAAUUUGAUAACAUGCCCAUCUAUGUCUUUGGCUAAGAGAUCUUUGAUAAUAGCAACACUAGGUUCAACUCUAAUCUCCUCAGGGGGUGCAAGUGAUCUAAUGUAACCCCUACGUAUCACAGUUGGAGCUUUAGAAUAAUCCUUUAUCCUAGCAGGGUAUGGUGGUUUCUCAGUGUAAGCACAAGGAACAACAGGAUCACUAAAAGCAAUGACUUUCUCCUCAACUAGAUUGGUUUUGGCUAUGUUGCUUUCUACAGGAGGAUGAUAUUUAAACCACUUCUCUUUGGGAAGAUCAACAUGAGCAGCAAAAGAUUCACAUAGAGAAGCUACUAUCUCAGAGUCAAGUCCAUACUUAGCGCUAAAAUCUCUAGAAGUGUUUGUCUCAACAAAAGAUUUAACGCAAUCAAACUGGAAAUUCAUACCUGACUCCUUACCUUCCUCCAGCUCCCAAUAUUCAGAGUUGCAUUUGAUUCUCUCCAAUAAAUUCCACUUGUGAUCAAUAUCCUUCUUCAUAAAAGAACCGGCACAAGAAGUGUCAAGCAUGGUACGAUCUUCAUGAGAAAGCCGAGCAUAAAAGUUUUGAGUGAUGAUUUCUCUCGAGAGCUCAUGAUUGGGGCAUGAAUAUAUCAUUGAUUUAAGCCUCCCCCAAGCUUGAGCUAUGCUUUCCCUGUCACGAGGCCAAAAGUUAUAAAUAAAGUUCCGAUCACGAUGUACUAAAUGCAUAGGAUAGAACUUUUGAUGAAAUUCCAAUUUCAACCGAUUGUAGCCCCAUGAUCCAGUAUCAUCACAUAGCCUAUACCAUGUCAACGCCUUAUCCUUCAAAGAUAAAGGAAAUAAUUUCUUCUUUACCUCAUCCUCGGGCAAACCUGCAAGCUUAAAUAAACCACAAACUUCAUCUACAUAGAUUAGAUGCAAGUCUCGAUGUGAAGAUCCAUCUCCUGUAAAAGGAUUAGCCAGCAGUUUCUCAAGCAUACCCAAAGGAAUUUCAUAAAAGAUAUUUUAAGUAGGUACCUUAGGUUGAGGAGAAACUCCUCGUGCUUCCGUUCGUGGUGAAGAUACCCCGAACAAACUCCUCAAAGAAACAGUUUCCAUAGUGACAAGUGACAAUAAAUUUCAGCACAGUAUAUAAAUGUUUCCUUACCAAUUUCCACUUACCAAAGGCGCUUCACUCCGCGGCAACGGCGCCAGAAAAGAGUAUUGAUUACCCACAAGUAUAGGGGAUCAAUCGUAGUCCUUUCGAUAAGUAAGAGUGUUGAACCCAACGAGGAGCGGAAGGCUCUGAUAAAUGGAUUUCAGCAAGGUAAUAACUGCAAGCAUUGAAAGUAGCGGUAACAAGUGAUUGUGUAGCGAGGUGAAACGUAGCAAGCAAAGUGUAGCAAGUAACAAGUAGUAGAAAUGGUGCACCAAGUGGCCCAAUCCCUUUUGUAGCAAGGGACAAGCGUGAACAAAGUCUUAUAGGAGGAAAAACGCUCCGGAGGACAUACGGGAAUUUCUGUCAUGCUAGUUUCAUCAUGUUCAUAUGAUUCGCGUUCGUUACUUUGAUAGUUUGAUAUGUGGGUGGACCGGCGCUUGGAUACUUCCCUUACUUGUACAAGCAUCCCACUUAUGAUUAACCUCUCUCGAAAGCAUCCGCAACUACAAAAGAAGAAUUAAGACAAAGUCUAACCAUAGCAAGUGGAUCCAAAUCAGCCCCUCACGAAGCAACACAUAGACUGGGGUUUAAGCUUCUGUCACUCCAGCAACCCAUCGUCUACUUAAUACUUCCCAAUGCCUUCCUCUAGGCCCAAAUAUGGUGAAGUGUUAUGUAGUCCACGUUCACAUAACACCACUAGAGGAAAAACAACAUACAACAUAUCAAAAUACCGAACGAAUAUCAAAUUCACAUGACUAUUAUUAACAUGACUUAUCCCAUGUCCUCAGGAAAAAAAGUAACUACUCACAAAACAUAAUCAUAAUCAUGAUCAGAGGUGUAAUGAAUAGCAUCAAGGAUCUGAACAUAAACUCUUCCACCAAGUAAUCCAACUAGCAUCAACUACAAAGAGUAAUCAACACUACUAGCAACCUUACGAGUACCAAUCGGAGUCGCGAGACGAAGAUGGGUUACAAGAGAUGAACUAGGGAUUGGAGAGGAGAUGGUGCUGAUGAACAUGUUGAUGAAUAUGCCUCCCCUUCGACGGGAGGAGUGUUGGUGAUGACGAUGGCGACGAUUUCCCCCUCCGGGAGGGAAGUUUCCCCGGCAGGAUCGUCCUGCCGGAGCUCUAGAUUGGAUAUGCUCAAGUUCCGCCUCGUGGCGGUGACGAAACCAUGAAAAAGCUCCCGAUUGAUUUUUUUCUGGACCAGGACACUUCAUAUAGCAAAAGAGGGGGCUAGUGGGCCGUCAGGCAGCCCACAAGCUUGCCGUGCGCCACCAGGGGGUGGUAGCGGUGGGCAAGCUUGUGGAGCCCUGGUGGCCCCCCUCCGGUAGUUCUUUCGCCCAGUAUUUUUUAUAUAAUCCAGAAAAAAUUCACGUAACUUUUCAGGGCAUUUGGAGAUGUGCAGAAUAGUGGAUUAGGAUAUGCUCCUUUUCCGGUCCAGAAUUCCAGCUGCCUGAAUUCUCCCUCUUCAAAUAAACCUUGCAAAAUAAGAGAGAAAAGGCAUAAAUAUGGUACCACAAGUAAUAUAGCAGCCCAAAAAGCAAUAAAUAUCAACAUGAAAGCAUGAUGCAAAAUGGACGUAUCACUUUCCCAGCUCCCAUCUGACUGGCGGCCUGGGCGGACCUCGCAGAGGAGGAUGAUCGAGCUGCGGGACACCUCAUCCUCCAUCAUGCCUCGGUGAGCCUGCUCUGUACCCAUGGAGUCGUGGUUGUGACUGCUGCUACCGCUAGCGCUCCCCCAGGUAUGGACGCUGUGCUGGCCUGGUCCGGCCCAGCCCGUGACAUAGGCCUCUGUGCUUUGCUUGAGCACCGACGGGAAAAGGUUUGCCCUUAGGAAAUAGGGUGUGCCGUGGCUGCUCCCAUGGCUGGGGGUGAGGGGGGGGGGGCACAGGACGUGCUGACGGGGGUCUCGUCUGCUUCUCCCGGCGUGCUCGUGAAAGAGACCUUCAUGAUUGGUUUUGAUUAUUGAUGACGAUCUCGAUGGACGAAUGAUUGCCUUGAGUUGUAUUUAAAGGGUUUGUUGAUAUGCAUUGCUUGAAGACGAUCUGUUUGUUUCAAGGUUAGUACAAGAACAAUUGUAACACGUUGUGCGUGACAAAAGCGCAUAUAUAAAUACUCCCUCUAUCCAUAUAUAUAGGGCCUAAUGCAUUUUAAGGCUAACUUUAACCACAUAUUAGAGUAAUAAUAUACGACAUGCACGUUACACAAAUCAUACCGUCAAAUUCGUAUGUGAAAGAAGUUUUAUGAUAUAAUUUUUACAUUAUACAUCUCAUAUACUAUGAAAAUUUAUCAGUAGUUAAAGGAAGUCUCGAAAAACGCAUUAGGUCAUAUAUAUAUGGAUGGAGGGAGUACUUUACUCUCCUUUUUGUUGGGAUGAUAAUUAAUUAGAAUACUUUCACUAAAGUGCUACAUAACCCUGUGUAUUUUGCAUGCUAUCACGUCUCUAAUAAUUUUACGCUACCAACUCAUUUGCAUUGCUAAUUCAUACAACUAUUCAGCUCUGUUUUGUAUUUUUUUGCUGGUCCUGGUCCUGUUUUUUUUUUGCGGUGGAAAAAAGAGCUUUAUUUAGUUACUGAUAGGAUUACAAUCGAUAACCAGAAGGCUAAUCAGAGCAUCAUGGGCAUCACACAACCACAACUCGGUUCGACACUCCGCUCUUGACAAAUAGGGUAGUCGAUCUGCAGCCCUAUUCUCCGAACAAUCAAUACAUUGACAUGCCUGAGAGAGCACGCUGCCUAGUCAAUUCUGGACAAGAUGCCAAACAGAUCCAUGUUUUUGGUUCUGAUUUGUUCAUUCUUAGCUGAGCACAAUGGCACGUGUAACUUGCAUGGGUCAUCUUGUGGAUUAUACCUGAUCUUGGAGUUGAUUUAUUUCAUGGACCAACUCAUGCUCACACAUUUAAUAUUAUUUCUACACAUUUAUGACAUCUCCCCUCUCACAUUCUUGAUAUAUAAAACCGUGAACCUAUUGCAACGUUCACUUCCAACUUGCCCAUUCUUCAUGUUUUUUGGUUGCUAGGUCCUAGCAGACCGUGAGAGUCUCAAUUCCCUAAUCAAAAAAGCGCAAUCUUGCUACUAUUGCAAGAAGCUAGUACUUGGAAUGCGUGGCAUCCGGGAAACUGUAGAAGCGAGCUGCUGCCAUAAGACUUCUUUGCACCAUGGGCAAAUUGGUUCGUUUUGGCUGCUAAGUAAAAAUAGAGGGCAGCAAUACAGUCCAACCGAUCUGCACUGUCACAACACCAAAGUUUGCAUCACAUUUGCAUCACCAUGUCCGGAUGGAAUGGUGCUGGCCCGAGUCGCGUAUGAAGAUGUUACAUCGUAUGUUCAUUCUAUACUAUUCCUGAAAUAGAAGCUUCUCCCGAUAGUUAAAUGUGCUGCCAAUGAUGUUUUCAUACACACAUGCAUUGUUUUGGCCUUGUGGAAAGCAUAUUCGGAUUGAUUUUAUUUUGUCAUCCACAUGUAUACUGAAAAACAAAAAUUUAGUCUAAAAAUCCAACAAGCCAUUUUGAUUACUAAUUAUCUUGUAAUGGAUUAGCCAAUAUCUCUUCAUGUAACAUGUAAAAUUCACCCAAUUGGGAUUGAGAACGCUGGCACUUUCCCUUUACUUUCGCAAUCGACUAGAGGACCGGGCGAGUGCCCUCGUUGCCACACCUAUGCUGACGUUCUGGAGAUGGUCGUACGUCUCUGCAACCCGGGCGUAGAGAUGCACAACAGAUCAUGCACUGACAUCCCUAUAAACAUAGCCUUUCCGUGUCUUUGAUGUGAAAUGAAUAAUAGUAAUAUGCUGAGGCCACAAGAUAUUGCAAUGAGAUUCGUGCAUUAUUCGGUGUUCAACAUGUAUAGUAUAGAUUGUGUAUCGAACCGGCACUCAUGUGUAGGCAUGUACAUGUUGGAUACCAACAUGCAUUGCGAACGAUUAAUUUACUGGAUUGCAGGAAUGAAUAUCAGGAUUGACCUGUAAAUGCAAAUUCGUGUGGAAAUUGUUUUUGUCAACCUGAUGCACCCUCUUCAAAUAUCUCAAUAUUACAGGUUUCCUCUGGUAACUCGUUCGUGGCAUAUGCUUCAACGAGUCUAUGUUGACACCUCGUCAUAAACCUCUUUUCCAUAGUGUUUGACUGACCACUCUCCGAGCUAGCAAAAUCAUAACUUGCACCAAAAUGUCUCCCCAUUUCCGAUUAGAAACUGCCUGAAGCUUAUUCCAUUUUUUGGUCAUAUGCGGGUUUAAAUUACCAUGUCCAUAUGAAACCUCCGAUCUCUUUUGACUCGCCAUGGUAUAACCUGCUUUAAUCCCUUACUUUCUGAAUUCAUUCCUAUGGUUAACUAAUUGCAUAUUACUGUUGGGGAACGUCGCAUGGGAAACAAAAAAUUUCCUACGCGCACGAAGACCUAUCAUGGUGAUGUCCAUCUAUGAGAGGGGAUUUCCGAUCUACGUACCCUUGUAGAUCGCACAGCAGAAGCGUUAAGAAACGCGGUUGAUGUAGUGGAACGUCCUCACGUCCCUCGUCCGCCCCGCGAACCGUCCCACGAUCCAUCCCACGAUCCGCUCCGAUCUAGUGCCGAACGGACGGCACCUCCGCGUUCAGCACACGUACAGCUCGACGAUGGUCUCGGCCUUCUUGAUCCAGCAAGAGAGACGGAGAGGUAGAUGAUUUCUCCGGCAGCGUGACGGCGCUCCGUAGGUUGGUGGUGAUCUAAUCUCAGCAGGGCUCCGCCCGAGCUCCGUAUAAACGCGAUCUAGAGGUAAAACUGUGGAGGUAUGUGGUCGGGCUGCCGUGGCAAAAGUUGUCUCAAAUCAGCCCUAAAACCCCACUAUAUAUAGGAGGGAGGGCGGGGAGGAGGCAGCCUCAAAACCUAAAGGUUUGGCCGAAAUUGGAGGUGGAGGAGUCCUACUCCAAUCCUACUUGGAGUAGGAUUCCACCUUCCCACUUGGAAACUCUUUCCACCUUGUGUUUUUUUCCUUCUCAAACCUUAUGGGCCUUAGUGGGAACUUAUUCCAGCCCACUAGGGGCUGGUUUAUCUCUUCCCAUAGCCCAUGAGACCCCUUGGGGCGUGACACCCCUCCUGAUGGUCCCCGGCACCCCUCCCAGCACUCCCAGUACACUACCGAUGAGCCCGAAACUUUUUCGGUAAUGCACGAAAACCUUUCGGUAACCAAAUGAGGUCAUCCUAUAUAUCAAUCUUCGUUUCCGGAGCAUUCCGGAAACCCUCGUGACGUCCGUGAUCUCAUCCGGGACUCCGAACAACAUUCGGUAACCAACCAUAUAACUCAAAUACGCAUAAAACAACGUCGAACCUUAAGUGUGCAGACCCUGCGGGUUCGAGAACUAUGUAGACAUGACCCGAGAGACUCCUCGGUCAAUAUCCAAUAGCGGGACCUGGAUGCCCAUAUUGGAUCCUACAUAUUCUACGAAGAUCUUAUCGUUUGAACCUCAGUGCCAAGGAUUCAUAUAAUCCCGUAUGUCAUUCCCUUUGUCCUUCGGUAUGUUACUUGCCUGAGAUUCGAUCGUCAGUAUCCGCAUACCUAUUUCAAUCUCGUUUACCGACAAGUCUCUUUACUCGUUCCGUAAUACAAGAUCCCGCAACUUACACUAAGUCACAUUGCUUGCAAGGCUUGUGUGUGAUGUUGUAUUACCGAGUGGGCCCCGAGAUACCUCUUCGUCAUACGGAGUGACAAAUCCCAGUCUUGAUCCAUACUGACUCAACGAACACCUUCGGAGAUACCUGUAGAUCAUCUUUAUAGUCACCCAGUUACGUUGCGAUGUUUGAUACACACAAAGCAUUCCUCCGGUCUCAGUGAGUUAUAUGAUCUCAUGGUCAUAGGAACAAAUACCUGACACGCAGAAAACAGUAGCAACAAAAUGACACGAUCAACAUGCUACGUCUAUUAGUUUGGGUCUAGUCCAUCACAUGAUUCUCCUAAUGAUGUGAUCCCGUUAUCAAGUAACAACACUUGCCUAUGGCCAGGAAACCUUGACCAUCUUUGAUCAAUGAGCUAGUCAACUAGAGGCUUACUAGGGACAGUGUUUUGUGUAUGUAUCCACACAAGUAUUGUGUUUCCAAUCAAUACAAUUAUAGCAUGGAUAAUAAACGAUUAUCGUGAACAAAGAAAUAUAAUAAUAACUAAUUAUUAUUGCCUCUAGGGCAUAUUUCCAACAAUUACUACUCUUCUUUACAUUGCGAGUUCUUUGUUCUAAACAGGCAAUUUCAACUAUCACAUAUUAUUUAAUCAUACCGGAUACCUUAUGAAACGAGCAUGUGUCCUUAUGCGCAAGUCAUUAGCAAAUGACAUUUUCUCCAUUUGAUCUAUUAGUAAACAUGCGAUUGUGAAAUGUAGUUCUCAAUCUUCAAAGAAGCAUGAAACGCUACAGCAGCAAAACAGAACACAUUCAGCAUAAAACCAAGAAUGAUACAUGCAAAGAAAAUCCUUUCGGAUAAUACUAUAUCCAUUAUUUUGAUAUUUUCGCUUAAGCACGACCACUAACGAAUUAAAUUCACCAGCUAGUAAGGAACGCAUGUACAAGAUCCAUACAAAACCCAUUGCUUUUCGUAAAAUAAUAACUUAAUAAACAUGUUCAAGUAGUUGAAAUAUAGUUAGAUAAAGGUUUGUAAAAUAUACUUUCAGUUGCAGUUAGCAGCGAUGCCAACUCUAACAGUAAGUUACAGUUGAACAUGACAAUUUAUAGUUGUCGUUUCUUUUUGAAGGCCACGAUUUUCCGUUGUACCACUUCAAUACUGUAGUGGUACACGGAGUGACACCUGGUGUUUCGACCUUUCUGCAUUAAAAAUGUGCUCUCACCUGCCUUUUUUUGACCUACCAUCUCAAAUUCAUUCUAUAUAUAGAUCUCUUGGCUCAAAAGUCAUUGUCUUCAUGUGCCCUGCCUCUGUUGUUACUUACUCCUCUUUUGUGCCCUGCCUCUGCCUUUGCUCUUGUGUUUUGUUCUUAAAAUUUCUUGGGUCAGCUUGUCCUCCACAAAUUAAGAUAGUCAUCUCAUAACCCGGCGUGUUUUUUUUUCACAUCAAGUUUGGGCGCACCAGGUAGACAGGCAUGCGUCCACAGUCCAGUGCCUCGAAAUGGGCGGCACCAGGAAACCACCGGCAAGUCUAUUACUGAACGGUCAUUGAUUUAUGUUGAAUGUGUCCUGCAAAAGAGCGAUGGUAAAGGUCAAGCCCCAUCUCCCACCCGCGUGGGCGGACCAUGCAGCUCGUCUUGUCGUCUUUUACUCCUAGGUGGCACCUGCAUCACGCUCAAGCAUUGGGAGGAAAUGUGGAAAGAUGAACACAAGAUCGAUGUCUAGGUCAUUAACCAGCAAUGCAACAUAUAUUACAGUAGUAGACACUUGCGGGUAAUUUCUACGGACUGUGCUUACGGACGCUAUCAAGGUCUCACCUCUCACGUGGUUAGUGGAGAUUGAAACGGCUGGUCCUCGUAUUCCUCCACCGAGCGGCGACUUGACGCCACGUCUGUCUGUAGGCUCCUUGCGUAGCAAAGCAUCCGUAAGAAGAGCAUUAUUGUAAUAGGACUGACUAAGACAUCAGUCACUCAAGAUAAGGGACACUAAUCACAAGAGAAAAGCUCAUUGCUAGUCACCUGGGAGCUCGUAUAUGGCUUGAGCCUUGUUGAUAAAAAAUAAAUAAAUUCAGUGCACGAGUGGAGUACAAAUGCACAGUGGCCGGCCUACAUGACCCUUACUUUCCUCCUUGCCUUGACGAGUACUGGAGAGCCCAUGCGACUUCCUUAUUCUUGUCUUCGGUUCAAACUUCACAGUCACUUCGUCCUCUUCGACCCUAGCCGCCACUCCCCGAUAAAUUCAUUAUUUUGACCCUUCUUGUAAAGUUAAGAUGUAUCUGAUCCUAACAUGAAAAAAUAUAUUUGGAUCUAAUUCUUUUUCUACCGUCACCCUGUGUUGCGCGCGGUAGGCUAACACAGGCUACCGCCACUGUCUUUGGUGGUAGGGAGGCGACGAAUGCAGAUGGCGCCAUUUGCUCGGAUGACGUGGAUAAUAGCCUACCGCGACAGGUAGUGGCGAUAGGGUGUCAUAGCCUUCCGCCACAUUUGGUGGCGGUAGGGUACUCAGUGUGGAUAAGUGAAUUGCUGGUUGGUUGGUGUGUCCCACCAGCCACCCAUUCAUCCCUAAACCCCCUCUUCCCCGAGCUGGGCUCCUCUCCCUUCUCUUUCCCUCAUUUUUGCCUUCACCAAAUCCAUCUUCAUUGCUUGAGUUUUCUCCGGUGGAUCGAGCUCAAUUUCAUCACUCAAGGUACCUCACUCACUCUCUUCUUUUUGGUUGGUUGGAAUUAUCUAAUUUGGUGGCAUUCUAUACUUGUAUGCAAACCCUAGUUUAGGUCAUUUUGAUGUGAAAUCAAUGCAUUUGAGGGAUGACAGGGUUGUUUCCAUGCUUGAUUGCGGGCUCCUCCUUCAUCUCCGUCGUAAGGUUGUCCCACAGAGUGUUACCUCCAUCAGGUAUGGCGGAUCUGCUGCAAGGGAGGAGGAUGGGAGGAGAAUGUGGAGCAGCUUGUGUUGCGGGGUGAAGUUAACCGGGUGUGGUCACCUUUAAUUAGCUUAUUCCGAUGAGGUCGGGCAUCCGAGUGCGUUAAUGCACGACACUGGAGUGGGUUUCUCGACCGACGAGCCUGUUUAAUGCUGGCAUAUGGAUGAACCGCAAAUUGAACGGGUGUGGUAGAUAAUAGUCCUAUCUUGUCCCGUAAAGCGUCUCCGACAGUGAACAAGCGCGAACACCGGGGAGGCAUCCUCGAUGGUGUCUUCGGCCAACGAGCCACCUCAAUGGCGAAGCAAGUAUGUGUAGUAUGCCUAAUCAUCAUGUUUGUAACAUCGAUCUACAGUUAUUCUUAGGCAUUUUUGUAGGUUUAGGGCUAGGGUUAGGCAAUGUGAUUAGUAAGUAGUUAGGGUUAAGCAAUAAUAUUUUGUUAUUUGUAUUUUUGUUUGAAUUUAAUGCACAGAUCUUUUUGAUCCAUAUUAUGUUGCUAUCCUAUCAUUCAUCUUUUUUUUACAAUGUACUUAGAUGGAUAGACUCGUUAAUGUACAUUAUUUGGAUAAGAAGGCAUUUAUGAAAGGCAAUAUAGAUGAAUGGGAAGAGUCCAUGGUUUUUGACUCAAGCCCAACUUAUGAGGAGGUGGUUAUGACAGUUAGAAAUGUGUUAAAUUGGAUUGACCCAAAUGAUAAAGUUAAGCUUAAUCGAAGGUAUGAUGUUGGAGUGGGGGUGAAGUCUCGAUUGAAGAGUAUGCCUAUCGCCUCAGAAUUGCAUUGGAAGGCUUACAAGGAUAAAGUAGUUGAAUCACAAGACAAAUCACUUGAAUUAUUAUAUGCCACCAAGAUUGAGCUUCCUGUCCUACAAAUUGACUUGAACCGACAUGCCACCUCCUUAAUACAUGAUGGAAGGGUGGAGGUGUAUGUCCCCAAUUCUUCUAGUCAACCACCAAAUGAAGCGGAGAUGAAUGAUAGAGCCAUGGUAAUUCAAGAGGAAGAGGUUCAUGUUGAUGCUGACGCUGCUUAUGUUGAUGAUGAUGAUGCUCAUGUUCAGAUGAUGCUAUUACCCAUGUUGAUGCUUAUGCAAAAGUUCAAGAGAUUCAUUAUAAUCCCAUUGGAAACUUGGAUGUUAUUCGGUACCAGCAAGAUAUGGAUCGUAGCCUCCCCUAUAGUCGUAUGUAUGGGUAUGACUCGGAUGACGAGGGUCCGACAAAGGAAUUGGACGAGGAUGAUUCACCGCACAAGAAAAUGAAAUUUUCAAGAAGGUGACGGGGAAGGAAAGAGGCGCCCCAUUGUUUCAUGAUCUUAUUCUUGUCGACAAGGCCGUUGUUGAUGGUGGCAUGAGAUUGGGGUUGUUUGAACCAACACCAUGCACGAAGGUCAGUGACCCUAAACCCAAGGAUGAGGACGAGAAUGUUAAUUUGAAGAAAGGCAUCAAGUUCGGUUAGAGUGACUAUGCCAUUAGGAACCAUAGGCCUUUUGUUAUCGAUUAUUUCGACCAAAAUCUGUGGUGCGCCAUCAAUUGUGACAAAGUAGGUUGCCCUUGGAAGGUUAGUGGAAGAAAAAUUGAAGAAACGGGGCAAUGGACGUUGAAGAGUUGUGUGGACACUUACUUGUGCAUACCACCAGACAAAGCUGACCGCAACAAUGAACACCGUCAAGUCACGUUUGAGUUCUUAGGAUACAAAUUGUUGAAUGGGAUAUACCACGAUCCAACCUCAUGAGUUCGGUUGAAGAACGGUUCAAAUAAAAGGUCAACUAUGGGAAGGUAUACAAGGCCAAGGCAAAUGCUAUCAGGAUGGUGCAUGGUGAUUAUGAGGCCGCGUACAAUAUUCUACCGUGGAUGCUGGUUGCCAUUGCACAUAGGAACCCUGGCAUGUGUCAUGCGAUGGAGGAAAUUGACGGAGUGUUUCAUCGUGCAUUGAUGAUACGUCUCCAACGUAUCUAUAAUUUUUAAUUGUUCCAUGCUAUUAUAUUAUCUGUUUUGGAUGUUUUAUAUGCAUUAAUAUGCUGUUUUAUAUUAUUUUUGGGACUAACCUAUUAAUCUAGAGCCUAGUGCCAGUUUCUAUUUUUUUUCCAUGUUUUAAAGUAUUGCAGAUAAGGAAUAUUAAACGGAGUCCAAACGGAAUAAAAUUUCCGAAAUGAUUUUUCUUGGACCAGAAGAAAUGCAGGAGACUUGGAGUAGGGGACAGGGCAUUUGACGGGAGCCCACAAGCCUGCAGGGCGCGUCCUAUUGGGGUGGUCGUGCCCCUGGCUUGUGGGUCCCGUGCAGGUCUCAUAACCUUAUUCUUUGGCCUAUAAAUUCCCAAAUAUUCCCAUAUCGCAGAAGAGAGCCACGAAAAUACUUCUACGUAGUCGGGAGCCUCUGUUCCCGUGAGAUCCAAUCUGGGAGCCUUUUCCGGGAAUCUGCCGGAGUGGGAAUUGAUCAUGGAUGGCAUCUACAUCAACUCCAUUUCCCCUCCGAUGAUGCAUGAGUAGUUCACCACAGACCUACGGGUCCAUAGCUAGUAGCCAGAUGGCUUCUUCUCUCUCUUUGAUCUUCAAUAGCAUGUUCUUCAUGAUCUUCAUGGAGAUCUAUCCGAUGUAAUACUCUUUUGCGGUGUGUUUGUCGAGAUCGGAUGAAUUGUGAGUUUAUGUUCAGAUUAUCCAUGAAUAUUAUUUGCAUCUCUUCUGAAUUCUUAUAUGCAUGAUUUCAUAUCUUUGCAAGUCUCUUCGAAUUAUUGGUUUGGUUUGGCCAACUAGAUUGGUAAUUCUUGCAAUGGGAGAGGUGCUAAGUUUUGGGUUCAAUCUUGCGAUGUCCUCACCCAGUGACAUAGUAGGGGUAGCGAGCCACGAAUUGUACUGUUUCCAUCGAGGAUAAAAAGAUGGGGUUUUCAUCAUAUUGCUUGAGUUUAUCCCUCGACAUCAUGUCAUCUUACUUAAUGCGUUACUUUGUUCUUCAUGAACUUAAUACUCUAGAUGCAAGCAGGGGUCGGUCAAUGUGUGGAGUAAUAGUAGUAGAUGCAGAAUCGUUUCGGUCUACUUGACACGAACGUGAUGCUUAUAUGCUUAAUCAUUGCCUUGGAUAUCUUCAUAAUUAUUUGCUUUUCUAUCAAUUGCUUGACAGUAAUUUGUUCACCCACUGUAUUAUUUUUCUUUAUGAGAGAAGCCUCUAGUGAAACCUAUGGCCCCCAGGUCUUUUUCCAUACUAUAUUUUCAGAUCUAUAAACCAACAAUACCAAAAAUAUCAUGCUGCAAUUUAUUUACUUUUGUUUCCGCAAUCUUUUAUAUCCAUCUCUAUCAGAUCUCAUCCUUGCAAAUAACUCUGAAGGGAUUGACAACCCCUUUAUAGCGUUGGGUGCAAGUGUUUGAUUGUUUGUGUAGGUACUAUGAUUGGGGCCUUACUUGUUCCUCCUACUGGAUUGAUACCUUGGUUCUCAAAAAACCGAGGGAAAUACUUAUCUACUUCUCUGCAUCACCCUUUCCUCUUCAAGGGAAAACCAACGCAAGCUCAAGAGGUAGCAAGAAGGAUUUCUGGCGCCAUUGCUGGGGAGGAUACAUAGCAAGAUCAAGCCUACCAAGUACCCAUCACAAACUCAUCUCUUGCAUUUACUUUAUUUGCCAUUUGCCUCUCGUUUUCCUCUCCCCCACUUCUAAAACGAUUUUCAGAAAAUACCAAAAAGAUUUGCCUUUUUAUUCGCCCUUUUUCCGUUUGUCUUUUUGUUUGCUUGCUUGUGUGCUAGAUUGCUUGCCCUGUCACGAUGGAUCAAGAUAAUACCAGGUUAUGUGACUUUUCCACUACUACUACUAAUGAUUUUAUUAGUACUCCAAUUGCUCCCGCCACUAGUGUGGAAUAUUGUGAAAUUAAUGCCGCUUUGCUCAAUCUUGUUAUGAAAGAACACUUUUUUAGCAUUCCUAGUGAAGAUGCCGCAUCCCAUCUAAAUACUUUCGUUGAGUUGUGUGAUAUGCAAAACAAGAAAUAUGUGGAUAAUGAAAAUUUUAAAUUGAAGCUAUUUCCUUUCUCACUACGAGAUCGUGCCAAAACUUGGUUUUCAUCUUUACCUAAAAAUAGUAUUGAUUCAUGGAAUAAGUGUAAACAUGUUUUUAUUUCCAAGUACUUUCCGCCCGCUAAGAUUAUCUCCCUUAGGAACGAUAUAAUGAAUUUUAAGCAACUUGAUCAUGAGCAUGUUGCGCAAUCUUGGAAGAGGAUGAAACUAAUGAUUAGGAAUUGCCCCGCGCAUGGUUUGAGUUUACACUACAACAAAAACAUCAUGUAUGGUCGCUUUUUCGGGGUCGCUUUUUUGUUCGCCUCUACGCCCAUGAACACUACCGACCUAAAGACGUUUUUAAGACGUUUACAAAGCACCACAAGCUUUUUCUUAUAAACAACCUUCAAGAAAAUAAUUUUUUUAUUUUAAUUAACUUAAAGACGAUUUGUGAGACGUUUUAAUGUGCGACUCUAUUCUUAGAGACGAUUUAUGAGACGUUGUAAUGUGCGGCUCUAUUCUUAGAUAUGAAUGUGAGAGGAAUUAUGAGACGUAUGUGAGACUCUAGAGAACAUUCAUGAGAUGUUUAGAUGUGCGAUUUUUCUUAUCUUAGACUUAAGAAAACAUUAAAUAAUUAUAUUUUCUAAAACUCAGAUAGCUAUUAAAAUUAGCUGCACUAAACUUUGAAUAAAUGUGAUUUCUUAUUUGAUUCUCACCUUAACGAUCUCCUCUCCAUAUAUGCUUCUAUCAAAACUUGGAUGUUUUUUCAUGACUUUCUUUGCACUUUGAUGAUUUGCCCCUAUUUUCAUUGACACUAUGUUUUUCCCACACUUUUGCCGAAACUUUGAUGAUUUGUUCCUUUUAACCCGUUUCCAUAAUUUUCAUAUAAUGCAACUAAACUGAUUAUUAAAAUUGUUGGGGAACGUAGCAUGGGAAACCAAAAAAUUUCAUGUAAUGCACGCAAUACCUAUCCAUGGUGAUGAUCAUCUACGAGAUGAGAGAUUGAAUCUACAUACCCUUGUGGAUCAUUAAGCGGAAGCGUAUAUAACGCGGUUGAUGUAGUGGAACAUAUUCGCGAUCCAAAUCGUAGCCCGUCCUGCGAUCUUAUCACGAUCUGUAGCAAUAAACUGACACGAUCAUAUGCUACGUUUAUAGUUUGGUCUUGUCCAUCACAUCAUUCUCCUAAUGAUGUGAUCCCAUUAUCAAGUGACAACACUUGUCUAUGGCUAGAAAACCUUAACCAUCUUUGAUCAACGAGCAAGUCAACUAGAGGCUCACUAGGGACAGUGUUUUGUCUAUGCAUCCACACAUGUAUUUGAGUUUCCAAUUAAUAUAAUUAUAGCAUUGGAUAAUAAACGAUUAUCAUGAAUAUCGUGUCACAUCUCGAGGAUUUCCAACGGUAUUUUAAGUGGGGCAGGGGACGGGACUCCAGGCGAGCGCGGCCGGCAACGACGAGGUGGAGGCGGGAGGGAACCCUAGCGGUAGCUAGCGGGAGCGCCGAAUACGAUCAUACGUGUGUUUGCAUAGGUUAAAGAAAAGAACCUAAAAGAAAUUAUAAAAGAUAAAAUAUUAAAAAAACAUUGAAAAAUAUAAAAGAAAAUAUAAAAAAUACAAUACAAUAAAAUAAUAGGGAAAUACAAAAAAAAUACGCGCGGCGCGGGUGCUCUGUUUUGGCCCCCAAAUCGAGCGCGCGCCGCCCCGCCUCCAAUUCGAGCACACCGCGCGCUGCCUCGCCCCCACCUCGUGCCCCCCUCUAUUCCGAGGAGGCCGCCGCGCCGCCCCCUUCCUCUUCCUCGUAGUCAAUCUCAACCCAACGGCCGCCACGCCGCCUCCCUCGUCAUUACUUUCGGCGAUGACAACGGUGCCUCCCGCGCCCGCGUUCUUCCUCCCCAACAACCAGCUGCUCGCCCCCUCUUCGGUCGCUGUGUAGGAGCCAUCGUGCUUGGGCUGCGACGACCAGCAGAGGACCGCCGCCGGCUCGGCUAGAUCUCCUUCCCUCUCCACUACGAAGCACCAGCAAAGGAGGAGUCCUCCUCUUUCCACCCUUGCCGCCGCCCGAAACCCUAGCCACACAGCACCACCCAUGGCGUUGUAGGUCAGAUCCGCAGGAUCCCCUCAAGAGCCUCGGUAUGUAUCCCUCCUUACCUUUUCUUAUUCUUCCUAUGAUGCGUGGGCGUGUGCAGGUCAGAGGAGAAUGAGCCAGAGCAGGUGGAGGAGCAGGCAAACAUCCGGUAACGUCUCUGCUAGCCGGAUUCAGGUUUGUUUCCCUCUCUGUUGAUGUUGUUAACCAUGGCCUGGUCUAUUUAAGGUUCCGGUCAUGGGGUUUCUUAUUUCUCUCAUUUUUCCUUUUAAUAACGGGUCCAACUCUGCUGAAAACAACACGCACUCUAGGUCCUCUUCACUAUAGCUACUUCAUAGCUUGUGCAGUCACUCUGCUCUUGUUGUUUUUAUUAUGGCGUGUCAUUUAUUCAUGCCCAACCCCAAGUCUAGCAACAUCACUAGCAUCGUCCCUUUAUUUUUUCCGUGGUGGAAUAUUUGGUUGCUUGGAUUACUUGAUAUAAUAGAUCCUCAUUCUGUUUUUGUGCGAUUGAUGCUUUUAUAUGUUGUUUUGCUCAUGAUUUCCUACCCUCUGCUGUGUGCUUCAGUGGAUGGUCAGGGCCUAAGUCAAGGCGGCGGUCGACUGCAGCAUGGAGGAGUCAUUGAGCAACUUCGAGCCCAAGGCGGCGGCAUGCGACGACGACCUCAGCCUGCAACAUAAGCUCCGUGACAUGGCAAUAAUCUGUGAAGUAAAUUACUUGGCAUGGUAUUUUGUUUAGGAGCAGAUUUCUCAUUCUUCACUAGAUAAAAAAAUCAACUUGCUGCUUAAUAUCCUAAUUCCAUUGUCAAUAAUCUGCUGCUUAAUUACAGUUGCGUGAUUAUAACUUGUCAUUUUGGGGGAUUUGUUUGCUUCUCAUGAAAUAGAAUGAAUUGUAACUCCACAUUACUGUUCAUUGCUUAGUUCAUUUAUUGAUGAAAGGUUAAAUCUUUACAACUUGCAUGCGUUGAGGCUAUACUGUUAUUAUUGGGAGUGAUAUUUUCACAUGUCAAUAGUGUCACUCAACUAUUUGUGUUGUUCAGGUCGUGUAGGUUCGGCUCAGUCUCGUUGUCUUGGUCCAGCUCACCACCAUCACCGACCGCUACAGACAUUAGAGGUGAGAUCUCUCACCUUCUCUUCUUCCCCUUGCUUUGUGCACGUGGGUUCGAACCACGACUAUUUUGGUUAUGUUGUAUGGGGGCUAUAAUAUAUGCGUAGGUAUUUAUGUGUGGGAUUUAAGUAUGCUUCUGAGAAAAAAUUCUAUCCAAUUUAAACACCGCAUGUCUACCAUGCUUGUGGCAUGGGGGUUACUCGAGGGAGUAAGACUGUCCAGGGCAGGUUUUCAAGUUAUUGGUUGCUAGUUUGCUUAGUACCAACUCUAUUCCAUGGGGAUAUUGUACAUAAAUGUGCAAAUUUGGAUUUUAAGCAUGUUUUUUUUGUAUAUCUGAUAAGUGCACACCUCUGUAACUGCUCCUCUUUGUCUGAUAUUCUAAGGCCAUUAGGCUCCUGUUUGCUUAGUCCUGAUGAAGAGCUUAGUAGCUGUUAUACACGGCUCAUUUUGUAGUGGCCUUUUAGACUGGAUACCUGAAGAGAUCAAUAUUUACUGUAUGCGUAUUGCCAAGGCUCUUAUAGUUUCAGGAACACAUGCUUCAUGCGUCUUUUUUCUGUUAACCCCUAGGAUAAAACACAUAUGUAUGUGUUGCUUUACUCCCAUAGCUUCAGUGCAUCAUUAAACUGCAUGUAUCUAUGUUCUUCCAGUGGUCCUGAGGAUAAAUAUCAUCUUUAUUUCGCAGAUUGGUAAGCUGCAGACUACUAUAUCCAUUGGUGGGAGCAAGUUGGUUCAAACACGGGAGAGUUCAUCCGACAAAAGAGCUUCUCACCGGUUGUAAAAGCAUUAAAUGGCAGGUAUGCAUUGCGGGCAUGAAAGUUCUCUUUGUUUCAAACACACACUCUCUCACACGCACACACAUACAAUGCUUGUUAUUAGGUAUGUCUGAUAUGUAACAUUUUUUGCUAUCUUAUUUUGAGGCUAGAUUGUGUGCGGUAACAAUUUUUAUAAAUAUCUGAAGGUAAAGACAGCUCAUGGAGAUGCCUCUAACCAGACCUCUCCAUAUAUCCUUUUUCUAUAAACUAAGUACAAACUAUUAGUUUAUGUACUCCCAAUUAAUCUGGUUUAGUUUCAGCACAAUUGUUCUCAACCCUUCUCCUCAAAUGCAAGACAUUGAUGUGCACUUACAAAAUUGGGACAAUUUUCGCAUGUAUGGUAAUCAAUUCGAAGUAGAUUCCUGCAGGUGCAUUUUUUUAAUUAUUAACAGGAGAUAUGCCGACGGCUAUGCCGUUGGCGUAGCCAUGCGCCAGGAAGUACCAGAGGCCGACACAUGGUAGAGAUACGCCGACGGCAAUGCCGUCGCGUAGCCAUGAGCCAGGAAACACCAGAAACCGCCACGUGGCCGAUCUAUGCCGACAGCCUCCCCGUCGGGUCAGCUCUGGAUAUAUGCCGGAGGCAUAACCGUCGGCAUAGGGGUGCCACAUGGCUGGCUCCGGUUAGGCGUCGCCCGUCGAUGGUGCUAUCAUCUACCGUCAUGUGGCAAAGGUUGCCGACGGUCUAUCUAUGCCGACGGUUGUGCGACAGUCGUCGGCGUAGGUACCUAUGCCGAUGAAAGCGGCCACAUACACCGACGUUCGCAAUCCCUACGACCCUAUGCCGACAGUGGCCAUCGGCAUACCCCUACACCGACGCGAUAUAGACCUACGCCGACGGCCUUCGUCGGCAACGCUGGUUAUUUCGGUAGUGAUUGUAGAAAGCACACAUCUAAAAAAAAUGAUAAGGUCAAUCAAGGCUGUGAACAAUCAAAUUUACUGGACAAGCAAUUCACUAACCAGGAAUUGCAUCCUAGCAAAUGCGCGAGAAUAAAAGAGGGUUGCACCAGUUUAUGUUCACCACAUGAACACAUAGUUGCUAAGGUGUGUGUCUGCACGCGCAUAAAUUUCUUCUUUGUUAUCAAACAAUUUCUAUGUUUUGUAUAAGAUCAAACUGAACUGAACCUCAAUUGCAGAAAGCACGUGAUGAUCGUGAAUCAAAGGAUGGUCAUACUGAAAGUAUCAAUGCGGCCAAGCAAGGUGGUCCUCAACCAAGUGUACAGCUGAAUCGCGUCACUAAGGGCCUGGUCGGAGGUCCUCCGCUCCGCAAUCCCAAUCUCGGACUUCGUGGAGUGGCAGUUAAAAAUUGUAGAGCGGGGGAAAAGGUGCUCCGCAGAUCCUCAGAUUUGACGGAGCUGGAGCAUCUACGAACAGCUCCUAAGAAGGUAUAUAUAUAACUAUUCUAACCAUUUCUGUAAUACUCCCUCUGUCCCAAAAUAAGUGUCUUAAUCUUAGUAUAACUUUAUACUAUAGUUAGUACAAAGUUAGGACAGUUAUUUUGGGAUGGAGGGAGUAAUAUAUAUAUCAGAUGACAAUGGUUAGAAUAGUUAGUUGGUCUAAUUCCAUGUGCAAUCGUUCAUUUUUUCAUUAAGUGAAAUCUUCCAUGGUUUGUGAGAAUGAAUGUUUCAUUUCUUGAAAACAUAUAGGAUAAAAUGAAAGUCUUUUUAUUUUUGUUGAACCUGAGAAGCAAAAAUAAAUAUGUGGCUGAAGGAACUUUAGUGAGUAGAGAUAAAAAAUAUGUGAUUGGAGAAAGCAUGCUUGUAGAUCAAUAUGCAACAGUUUUUGUUUCCGCUGUUUCAAGACUUGGAGAUGAGACACUGUUUAGACCUUAUGACAAGUUCCGAACAGUAUAAGGGAUGCUAUUGGUCAUGUUAUUGCAUGGCCUCUAUCACAGGUAAGUACACUUCCAUAUAAUGACUGAUUAUGCUCCAAUGUACAUACUUCAGGUUUAUUAUUUAGGAAGAAUUUUUGUGUUUUUAGGUGAAAAACCCAAUCCCAGCCAUUCCUACACAGCGGCAAAACAAGCCACCAAACACUGGUACAACUCUUACAAAUUCAUCAAAGUACAUUUCUUCUCACACUACUCUUAAAACUUACAUACUACUAUUUUAUCUGUUAUCUUCCUUUUUCAGUGUAGCCCAAGAUUAGAAAAGGAGCGCAUUGCAAGAGCGACAAGCAACUACAGAAGAAUUAGUUUUUAAAUGGACAAAUAUUGUGUAUUAUAUAUAAAGGAUUUCUAGAUUCAUAGGAAAAUUUGGUUCUGGUUGUAUGAUAUUUUCAUAAUUAUUUGCAUCUUUUGUAUGAAUAUUUGAUUUCAUAAAGUUUUGAACUCAAGAUGUUUGUUCCUACUAAUUGAAAUUGUGCUAAUGAGAUGCUUGUGAAUACAAUUGGUUAUAUGGAAGGAUCCCUUUAUAUGAUAUUUCUUGCCUAAGAAUGUGGCUUCUGAUAUCAGUGGAUGCCUUUUACACAACAAUAUUUGUUAUUCCUUCUGCACAAGCGUGUGUUGUGACAAAGUAACUCAGUUUGAAAUGAUGUAACACAAAUUCAAAAUGAAUCAAUUUUUUUAAAGUUAAAUAUAUGUAGUUACAAAGAAGCUUGUGUAUAUUUAGAGACAAAUAUAUCGUCUCUACAUAGCGUGUAUAAGAAUGGGGUUAGGCCCAUGAUGAAUGAAACGACUAUGAGUAAAGAUGUGAUGCUAAUAGAACGACUAUACAUACAUAUAUAUGCUUUUAAAUGUCACAAUACAUCGUCUCAUACCUAGAUAUGCUUUUUACGUCCCAAUAUAGCGUCUCAUGUCAAAGGACCCUUUUGGAUGUCCCAAUAUAGCGUCUCAUAUCUACACACGCUUUUGGACGUCCCAAUAUAGCGUCUCAUGCCAUGUACACACGCUUAGCUAGCGUGUCUACAUGUUUUGAGAGUGUGCAUAGGGAGACGCUUUACUAAGUCGACUUUAUAGUUGCCUAGAGAUGAAAUAACACGUCUGUAGCUAUGGAAUAUGACGUCUCUACAUGUAGUUUUUCUUGUAGUGUUAUGGAUGAUUAUCCAAUUUUUUUAUGCGGGGUUGCAUUUUCCUUCUAGGAAUAUUUUAGAUUCCGACGCGGGUGGUACCUUCAUGGAAAUCACAUUAGGAGAAUCUACUAAACUCCUAGAUAAUAUUAUGGAAAAUUACUCUCAAUGGCAUACCGAAAGAUCUCCUAGUAGUAAAAAAGUGCACGCUAUUGAAGAAAUAAACACUUUGAGUGGAAAGAUGGAUGAAUUAAUGUAAUUGUUUUCUAGUAAGAGUGCUUCUAUUGAUCUCAAUGAAAUGCCUUUGUCUUCUUUGAUUGGAAAUAAUAAUGAAUCUAUGGAUGUGAAUUUUGUUGGUAGGAACAAUUUUGGCAAUAACACGUAUAGAGGUAAUUUCAAUCCUAGGCCGUUUCCUAGUAAUUCCUAUAAUAAUUAUGGUAAUUACUACAACAAUUCUUAUGGAAAUUAUAAUAAGAUUCCCUCUUAUCUUGAGAAUAAUAUUAAAGAAUUCAUUAGCUCGCAAAAAGGUUUCAAUGCUGUGAUUGAAGAAAAAUUGCUCAAGAUUGAUGAUUUGGCUAGGAACAUUGAUAGAAUUUCUCUGGAGAUUGAUUCUUUGAAAAUUAGAUCUAUUCCACCCAAGCAUGAUAUUAAUGAGUCUCUAAAAUCUAAGAGAAUUUCUAUUGAUGAGUGUAAGGAAAGAACCGCUAGAAUACGUGCUAAGCGUGAAUGGCUUGAAAAAGUGUUUUCUCGUGAUAAUAUUGAUGAAGAUCUUAAAGUGAUUGAUGUGACUCCUAUUGAAUCUUUGUUUUCUAGUAUAAAUCCUGAAAAAGAUGGGACUGGAGAUGAGUCAACUUUAGUUAAAAGGCGUCCCAUUGAUUCGGAGUUUAUAGAUCUUAAUGAUAAGAUUGAUAAAAAUGGGAUUGAAGAGGUCAAAACUUUAAACAGCAAUGAGCCCACUCUUUUGGAUUUCAAGGAAUUUAAUUAUGAUAGUUGUUCUUUGAUUGAUUGUGUUUCCUUGUUGCAAUCCAUGUUGAAUUCUCCGCACGCUUAUAAUCAAAAUAAAGCUUUUACUAAACAUAUUCUGGAUGCCAUGAUGAAAUCUUUUGAAGAAAAACUUGAGUUGGAAGUUUCUAUACCUAGAAAUAUUUAUGAUGAAUAGGAACCUACUAUUAAGAUUAAAAUUAAAUAUUAUGAGUGCCAUGCUUUGUGUGAAUUGGGUGCUAGCGUUUCCACAAUUCCAAAAACUUUAUGUGAUGUGCUAGGAUUCCAUGAAUUUGAUGAUUGCUCUUUAAAUUUGCAUCUAGCGGAUUCUACGAUUAAGAAACCUACGGGAAGGAUUAAUGAUGUUCUUAUUGUUGCAAAUAGUAAUUAUGUGCCAAUAGAUUUCGUUGUUCUUGAUAUAGAUUGCAAUCCUAUAUGUCCUAUUAUUCUUGGUAGACCUUUCCUUAGAACGAUUGGUGCAAUUAUUGAUACGAAAAAGGAAAUAUUAGAUUCCAGUUUCCGUUAAGGAAAGGCGUGGAACACUUUCCUAGAAAUAAAAUUAGAUUACGUUAUGAAUCUAUUAUGAGAGCUACCUAUGGAUUGCAUACCAAAUAUGACAAUACCUAGAUGUAUUGCAUUAUGCCAAGCUAGGGGCGUUAAACAAUAGCGCUUGUUGGGAGGCAACCCAAUUUUAUUUUUAUGCUUUUGUUUUUGCUUCUAUUUUUAAGUUCUCACACAUUAUUACCUCUGUAAUAAUUGUGUUUUUUUAAUUAGUGUUUGAGCCAAGUAAGACCUUUGGGAUGGUCUACGGUGUUUGCAAGUUGAUUUUGCUGAAAAACAGAAACUUUCGCUCUCAGUACAAGAAUUUUGUAAAUUCACUGGAACGUGAUUUUUAUCUGAAGUUUUUACACAAAAUUGGUUUACAAAUUUCCCAGAUUUUCCUAAUGUUUCAAAAUAUUUGGAGUUACAGAAGUAUUCGAAGUAAAUUGAUUGCCACAGACUGUUCUGUUUUUGACACAUUCUGUUUUCUUUGUGUUGUUUGCUUAUUUUGAUGAAUCUAUGGGUUGUAUCGGGGGGUAUGAAAAAUGGAGAAGUUGGAAUAAAUUAAAUAUUACAUCAAUAUAAAUAAAUAAUGAGUUCACAAUAGUACCUAAAGUGGUGAUUUAUUUUUCUUAUACUAACGGAUCGCAUGAGUUUUCUGUUGAGUUUUGUGUUCUGAAGUUUUCAAGUUUUGGGUAAAGAUUCGAUGAACUAUGGAAUAAGGAGUGAUAAGAGCCUAAGAUUGGGCAUUCUCAAGACACCCCAAGCCAUAUUCAUUGAUACCAAAGAGCCUAAGCUUGGGGAUGCCCCGGAAGGCAUCCCCUCUUUCGUCUUCAAUCCAUCAGUAAAUUUACUUGAGGCUAUAGUUUUAUUCACCACAUGAUAUGUGUUUUGCUUGGAGCGUCUUGUAUGAUAUGAGUCUUUACUUUUUAGUUUGUCACAACCAUACUUGCUGCACACACCUUUUGAGAGAGACACACGCUGAAUCGUGAAUUUAUUAGAAUACUCUUUGUGCUUCACUUAUAUUUUUUGAGCUAGUCAAUGUUGCUCUAGUGGUUCACUUAUAUCUUUUAGAGCACGACGGUGUUGUGUUUUAUAGAAAUUAUUAAACCGUCGUACCUCACUUAUAUUAUUUUGAGAGUUCUUUAAAUAGCAUGGUAACUGGUUUAGGUUAUGAAUUUAGUCCUAAUAUAAUGGGCAUCCAAGAGGGAUAUAAUAAUAACUUUCAUAUUAAGUGCAUUGAAUAUGAUGAGAAGUUUGAUUCCAUGCAUAUAGUUUUGAGAUAUUAAGAUGGUAAUAUGAGAGUCAUGUUAGUAAGUAAUUGUGAAUUAGAAUAAAUACUUGUGUUAAAUCUUGUGAUUCCCGUAGCAUGCACGUAUGGUGAACCGUUAUGUGAUCAAGUCGGAGCAUGAUUUGUUUAAUGAUUGUCAACCUUUGUGUGGAGGUCGGGAUCGCGCGAUGGUUAACUCCUACCAACCCUUCCCCUGGGAUCAUGCGUCUAAUAAUUUUCUUUGAUAACUAAUAGGCUUUUUCAAUAAGUAUGUGAGUUCUUUAUGACUAAUGCUGAGUUCAUGGAUUAUACACACUCUCACCCUUCCACAUUUGCUAGCCUCUCUAGUACCGUGGAACUCUCGCCGGUACAUUAAACCCACCUUCCUCAAAACAACCACCAUAUAUUUUCCUCAAAACAACCACCAUACCUAACUAUUAUGGCAUUUUCAUAGCCAUUCCGAGAUAUAUUGCCAUGCAACACCACCGUCCCAUUUUUACGACACGCACCAUCACUUCCAUAUUGCUUAUAGAGUCAUACUUUGUUCUAGAUAUCGAGUUGUAAUCUUUUGAGUUGUAAGUAAAUAAAAGUGUGAUGAUUUGCGUUAUUAGAGCAUUGUCCCGUGUGAGAUAAGGAUGAUUAAAGCUAUGAUUCCCUCACAAGUUGGGAUGAGUCUCCGGACUUUACAAAAAAUAAAAGAGGCCAGUGAAGCCCAUAAAAAAUAUAAAAGAGGCCAAAGAAGCCCACCAAAAAAAGAGAAAAAAUGAGAGAAAGAGAGAAGGGACAAUGCUACUAUCCUUUUCCACACUUGUGCUUCAAAGUAGCACCAUGUUCUUCAUAGAGAGUCUCCUAUUUUGUCACUUUCAUAUAACUAGUGGAAUUACAUCUUUUGCACAACCACUUAGUUUCCUUUUUGAGCUUCCAUACACUUAUAGCUCUAGUGCAAUUGUUGCAUGGCAAUCCCUAGUCACUCACAUUGAUAUCUAUUGAUGGGCAUCUCCAUAGACCAUUGAUAUGCCUAGUUGAUGUGAGACUAUGUUCUCCUCUUUUUGCAACCUCCACCACACUCUAUCCCACCUAUAGGGCUAGAUCCAUGGCUCACACUCAUGUAUUGCAUGAGAGUUGAAAAGGUUUGAGAACAUAAAAAGUGUGAAAUAGUUGCUUGAUUUUCAUCAGGGUUGUGCAUGAUUUAGAUACUUUGUGAGGUGAAGAUGGACCAUAGCCAGGCCGUAUGAUUUUGUAGGGUUAACUUUCUAAGAGCAUGUUAUUUCGAAAGGAAGCAAUUACCUUAUUAAUAUGCUUGAAGUACUAUUGUUUUUAUGUGAAUAUUAGACUUUUGUUUUGAAUCUUAUGGAUCUGAAUGCUCAUGCCACAAUAGAUAAUAUUACAAGGAUAAAUAUGUUAGGUAGCAUUCCACAUAAAAAUUAUUUUUUUAUCAUUUACCUACUCGAGGACGAGCAUGAAUUAAGCUUGGGGAUGCUUGAUACGUCUCCAACAUAUCUAUAGUUUUUGAUUGUUCCAUGCUAUUAUGUUAUCUGUUUUGGAUGUUUUAUAUGCAUUAAUAUGUUGUUUUAUAUUAUUUUUGGGACUAACCUAUUAAUCUAGAGCCUAGUGCCAGUUUCUUUUUUCCCACAUUUUUGAGUAUUGCACAUAAGGAAUAUUAAACGGAGUCCAAACAGAAUAAAAUCUCCGGAAUGAUUUUUCUUGGACCAGAAGAAACACAUGAGACUUGGAGUAGGGGGCAGGGCAUGUGUUGGGAGGCCACAAGCCUGCAGGGUGCGCCCUAGGGGGUCGUCGCGCCCCUGGCUUGUGGGUCCCCUUCAAGUCUCCUAACCCUAUUCUUUUGCCAAUAAAUUCCCAAAUAUUACCAUAUCGCAGAAGAGAGCCACGAAAAUACUUCUACGCCGCCGGGAGCCUAUGUUCCCGUGAGAUACAAUAUGGGAGCCUUUUCCGGUAAUCUGCCGGAGAGGGAAUUGAUCAUGGAGGGCAAAUACAUCAACUCCAUUGGCCCUCCGAUGAUGCGUGAGUAGUUCAUCACAGACCUACGGGUCUAUAGCUAGUAGCUAGAUGGCUUCUUCUCUCUCUUUGAUCUUCAAUACCAUGUUCUUCAUGAUCUUCAUGGAGAUCUAUCCGAUCUAAUACUCUUUGCGGUGUGCUUGUCGAGAUCCGAUGAAUUGUGAGUUUAUGUUAAGAUUAGCCAUGAAUAUUAUUUGAGUCUCUUCUGAAUUCUUAUAUGCAUGAUUUCAUAUCUUUGCAAGUCUCCUCAAACUAUUGGUUUGGUUUGGCCAACUAUAUUGGUAAUUCUUGCAAUGGGAGAAGUGCUAAGUUUUGGGUUCAAUCUUGCGGUGUCCUCACCCAGUGACAUAGUAGGGGUAGCGAGGCACGUAUUGUAUUGUUGCCAUCGAGGAUAAAAAGAUGGGGUUUUCAUCAUAUUGCUUGAGUUUGUCCCUCUACAUCAUGUCAUCUUACUUAAUGCGCUACUCUCUUCUCCAUGAACUUAAUACUCUAGAUGCAGGCAUGAGUCGAUCGUGUGGAGUAAUAGUAGUAGAUGGAGAAUCAUUUCGGUCUACUUGACACGGACGUGAUGCUUAUAUGCAUAAUCAUUGCCUUGGAUAUCUUCAUAAUUAUUCGCUUUUCUAUCAAUUGCUCGACAGUAAUUUGUUCACCCACCGUAUUAUUUUCCUUUAUGAGAGAAGCCUCUAGUGAAACCUACGACCCCCGGGUUUAUUUCCCAUAUUAUAUUUUUAGAUCUAUAAACCAAAAAUAUCUUGCUGCAAUUUAUUUACUAUUGUUUCCGCAAUCUUUUAUAUCUAUCUCUACCAGAUCUCAUCCUUGCAAACACUCUGAAGGGAUUGACAACCCCUCUAUAGCGUUGGGUGCAAGUGUUUGAUUGUUUGUGUAGGUACUAUGAUUGGGGCCUUGCUUAUUACUCCUACUGGAUUGAUACCUUGGUUCUCAACAAACCGAGGGAAAUACUUAUUACUUCUCUACAUCACCCUUUCCUCUUCAAGGGAAAACCAACGCAAGCUCAAGAGGUAGCAAUUGACAGUAAAAAUUCAUACUUCACAACAGAAAAAAUGCAUAAUAAUUGACAAGAAUAUAGUUCAACAUCAGCAUUGCACAUGAGGGUUCAACAUGACCAUAAAAGUUCAACAACGAGCUAAACAAAUAGUUGAAAAGUUCAACAUCACCAAAUAGUAGUUCAACAUCACCAAAUAGUAGUUCAACAUCACCAACAUAGCCACACACUAAAUAACCAUCAAGUGCCUGCAUCACCUUCUUCCUCUCUUUGAGCACCCUCAUUCCAGGUUUUCUUCUAGCAACGAGGCAUCGGUCUUUGAACGAAUCCGGAGAAAGUACAUCAGUAUGAGGGUUAGAAACCCUUUUUGCUUGGGAAACUAGUGGUGCAUCCAUCAUCCGAUGAGAUGUUAAUCUCCUUCGGGCCCUCGUCCUGUGAGUCCUCCUCUUAUUCGUCAGAUUCAUAAAUAUCCAUAGAAUAUCCACCAGUAUGGCUAGCUGUAGCACCAACGUGACUAGAAAUAGCGGAAGCUCCACUUGCAUGCAUCGAUGUGCCAGGAGCAUGCAGAUCAAUGUUACCAGGGGCUGCACACCCAAGCAUGGGGGCUAGCCUCUAACAACGUGUUCUUAAGCGCUGCAAUGACAACAACAACGACAAACACAAUUUUCAAUGCAAAGCAAACAUUUGUGUAGUAAACCAUAUGGUAAGGAGUUCGAAUGCUUACUUUCAUAGGGUCCCUCAGUGUAGUCUUGGACUGUGUGAGUGCGUUUGAGCCUUCGAUGAUACUUCUGUUGAGCUCAUAAGUCUGCAAAUUCAAAGAAAGAGCUCCAAAGUGUGCAUAAUCUAGAGGAGAUGAAAACCAUUCUCGACAAAAUUUCAAAAGACUUACCACUCGGCCAGUCAUGGGCGCGUACUGUCUAUGUUCACGUUGUGUACUUAUCUUCUGAGUCACAAUUUUGAUGGGCUCCAGUGAUAUCUGCGUCCGUCCACCUUGGUCUCAAACGCAACCAAAAUUGCCUCUGAUUCUUGUGAUCUGCGUUGGGUUUUCCAUGAAGAGGAACGGGUUAUCACAACACAAUGUGGGUAAGUAUUUCCCUCGGUUACUAAACCAAGGUUUAUCAAACCAAUAGGAAUAUCAACAACAACCGUCUUGAGCGACUGCACACACACACGAACAAACAAUUUGCACCCAACGCAGGGAAUAGGGUUGUCAAUCCCCUUGGUAUUGUUAUUUGCAAUCAAGUGAGAUGUGUAGAUGAUUGUAAAAUGCAAAAUAAAAUGAAAAUAAGUAAAUGGCAGCAAGAUAUUAAAGGUUUUGUAAAUAUAUCGUGAAUAGAACCGGGGCCAUAGUUAUCCCUAAUAGCAUCUCUCAUGAAAAUAACAUAUAGUGGGUAAACAAAUUACUUGGGCAAUUAAGAGAAAAGCGGAUAGUUAUGCGAUACUCACGGCAAUGAUGAUGUGUAUAUAUGCAUCACGUCCAUAAACAAAUAGGUCGACUCCUACCUGCACCUAUUACUAUUACUCAACUCAUCAACCGCUAUCCAACAUGCAUCUAGAGUAUUAAGUUAAAUAGAGUAAUGCAUGGAGAACGAUGACAUGAUGUAUACAAAGUAAACUCAAGCAAUAUGAAUAAAACCCAUCGUGUUAUCCUUAGUAGCAACAACACAAAGACACAUCUUGUCCCCUUCUAUCAAUGGGAUAUAGAAAUUUGUCAGAUUGAACCUACUACAACGCACCUCUCUCUCCGAAGAAAUAUCAAUCUAGUUGACCAAACUAUUUCAAUAGAUUGGAGAGAAUUACGAAUCUAUCAUAAUCAUGCACAUAAUAAUGAUGUUAGUAUUCAGAGAAGACUCAAAUAUUUAUCAUGAGUAAUCUGAACAUACACCCAUAAUUCAUCGGAUUCCAACAAAUGCACCGCACAAAAGGAUUACAUCAUAUGGAUCAAAGCGAAGAGGUGAUUAUCAUUGUAUUGAAGAUCAAGAGAGAGAUAUCCAUCUAGAUACUAGAUAUGGACCCAUAUGUGUGUGGUGAACUACUCAGACAUCAACAUGAGGGCGACAUGGUUGAUGAAGAAGCCCUCCGUGAUCGACCCCCCUCCAGCAGGGUGCCGAAAUAGAGCUCUAGAUGGCCAUCCCCAUCGGAAUAUAGACUUGUGGUGGCGUAAAAAGUGUUUCAGGACUACUUCUAGUGUUAUUAGGAUAUAUGAUAAUUUAUAAGCUAGAGAACAGAGUUGGGAGGUGAUAACCCACAAGUAUAGGGGAUCACAACAGUUUUCGAGGGUAGAGUAUUCAACCCAAAUUUAUUGAUUCGACACAAGGGGAGCCAAAGAAUAUUCUCGAGUAUUAGCAGUUGAGUUGUCAAUUCAACCACACAUGAAAGACUUAGUAUCUGCAGCAAAGUUUCAGUAGCAAAGUAGUAGGAUAGUAACGGUAGCGGCAGUAACAGUAGCAGUAGUGACUUGUGUAGCAAUUGUGACAGCAGUAGCGGUAAAGUAACUUAGCAAGGACUAGUAUAGGAAAAGCUCGUAGGCAUUGGAUCGGUGAUGGAUAAUUAUGUCAGAUGGCAUUCAUCAUGUAACAGUUAUAACAUAGGGUGAUAUGCAACUAGCUCCAGUUCAUCAAUGUAAUGUAGGCAUGUAUUCUGUAUUUAGUCAUACGUGCUUAUGGAAAAGAACUUGCAUGACAUCUUUUGUCCAUCCCUCCCGUGGCAGCGGGGUCCUAAUGGAAACUAAGGGAUAUUAAGGUCUCCUUUUAAUAGAGAACCGGAACAAAACAUUAGCACAUAGUGAAUAUAUGAACUCCUCAUACUAUGGUCAUCUUCGGGAGUGGUUCUGGCUAUUGUCACUCCGGGGUUGCCAGGUCAUAACACAUAGUUGGUGACUACAACUUGCAAGAUAGGAUCAAGAAUACACGUAUAUUGAUGAAAGCAUAAUAGGUUCAGAUCUGAAAUCAUGGCACUCGGGCCCUAGUGACAAGCAUUAAGCAUAGCAAAGUAGUAGCAACAUCAAUCUUAGAACAUAGUGGAUACUAGGGAUCAAACCCCAUCAAAACUAACUCGAUUACAUGAUAGAUCUCAUCCAACCCAUCACCGUCCAGCAAGCCUACGAUGAGAUUACUCACGAACGAUGGAGAGCAUCAUGGAAUUGGCGAUGGAGGAUGGUUGAUGAUGAUGACGACGUCGAUUUCCCCUCUCCGGAGCCUAGAACGGAAUCCAGAUCUGCCCUCCCGAGGAAGAACAGGAGGUGGCGGCGGCUCCAUAUUGUGAAACGCGAUGAACUCUUCUCUCCUAAUUUUUCCUGGGCGAGAGAGACUUUAUAGAGUUGGAGUUGGAGGCUGCGGAGCUACGUGGGCCCCACAAGCCUACCAGGCGCGCCCUAGGGGGGCGCCUCCUGGGCUCGUGGGCUCCUGCUCUGUGUCUUAGGGUAAUUCUUGCACAAGUAUUUUUUAUAUAUUCCACAAAAAAUCCUCGUAAGUUUCGAGGUCAUUUCGAGAACUUUUAUUUCUGCACAAAAACAACACCAUGGCAAUUGUGCUGAAAACAGCAUGAGUCCGGUUAGUUCCAUUCAAAUCAUGCAAAUUAGAGUCCAAAACAAGAGCAAAAGAGUUUGGAAAAGUAGAUACGAUAUAGACAUAUCAGGAGGGCCUCGAGGGCCCCAUAAGCCAUCAGGGUCCGCCCCAGGCCGCGCCAUGUCAGCUUAUGGGGCCCUCGAGUGGCCUCCAGACUUCUUUUGAUGCUCGUUGGUCUUCUUUCGAUCCGAAAAAAACUCCGAAAAGUUUAACGUCAAUCGGACUUCGUUUGGUAUUGAAAACCCAAAAUAGAAAAACAUGCAGAUAACAACAACUCACACUGGGCACUCGGUCAAUAGGUUAGUGCUUAGAAAUAAUUUAAAUUGGUAAAUAAAUAUAAAAAAGUAUCCUAAAAUGGUAAUAUAUCAGCAUGUAACAAUAAAAAAUUAUAGAUAUGUUGGAUAUGUAUCAAGCAUCCCCAAGCAUAAACAUAACUUUUUAUGUGACAUGCUACCAAUUAUGUAACCUUAUGCAUGUAUGCUCAUUGAGAAAUGAUGAGUUAAUAAACAUUAACAUAGUAAUACUUAUAAGUAUAAGCAACAAAAUGAUUAAUUUUUCAAAGUAUACGAUCCUCAAAGGUUGUUUUAACCCCAUUCAUCUUAUUAUAUUAGCAAGGCAUGGUUCCGUCUUCACCACAUUAAUACAAAUUUCAAGCACCACGGAAUUGGAUUGUAAUUCUUCAAUAUGCAUCAACUUUUUAUUCUUCACGCAAUACACGAGCGUGAACCGUAGGACAUAGCAUAUAGGUGGAAUAGAAUAUGGUGGUAGGUCUCAAAGGGGUAAAAGAUGGAGAAGAUAAUCUCAAAUCAACUAGGCAUACCAAGAGAUCAUGGAGAUGCCCGCCAAUAGAUAUAGAUGGAAGGAGUAGGGAUUGCCAUGCAAAUGAUGCACUCGAGCUAUAAGUGUAUGAAAGCUCAACUGAAGGUAAGUAGGCAUGUGCAUCCAACUUGCUUUCUCAUGAAGACCUUGGGCAUUAGAGGAAGCCCGUCAUCGGAAUACAAAAGCCAAGUUUAUGAAAAAGUGAUUCCCACUAGCAUAAGGACGAUAUAACAUGAGACUGUCUAUAUGAAGAACAAGGUGCCACUUUGAGGCACAAGUGUGGUAAAGGAUAGUAACAAAGUGCCUUCUCUCUUUUUUCCUCAUUCAUUUAUUAUUAUUAUGGUGGGUUCAUUUGGCCUCCCCCAUUUUCAUUCCCUCAAUGGGACAAUGCUCUAAUAAUGAUGAUCAUCACAAUUUUAUUUACUUACAACUCAACAUGAGAACUGCUAGGACGGAAUCACUCUGUAUGAAUGUCUCUGGCAGUGUACCAGGAUGUGCAAAGAUCUAGCAUGACAUGUAUCAAAAAUAUGAUGAACGGUCGCUUUGCCACAAAUACUAUGUAAACUGUAUAUGAUAAUGCAAAGCAUUAUGAUGAUGAACGAACUAGUCAUGUGAAGUGACGAUGGAAUUUGCAUGGCAAUAUAUCUCAGAGUGGCUAUGGAAAUGCCAUGAUAGGUAGGUAUGGUGGCUGUUUUGAGUAAUAUAUAAGAAGGAUUAUGUGCAACAGAGCAUGCCAUGUCACGGGGUUGGGAUGCACCCGAUAAAGUUGUACCGAUCCUCAAGGUGAGAAUGGGCAAUGCACGAUACCGAAGAGGCUAGCAAAUAUGAGGAGGUGAGAUUGUGUAUGUUCAUGGUGUCACAUUAGUCAUACAUAACUCAUAUACUUAUUGCAAAGUUUUAUUAAUUUUAUUACAAAUCAAAGUACUACUUGCAUGCCCUGAGGGAGAGGGUUGGUAGGAAUUAACCAUCGCAUGAGUCCGACUCGAAACAACACUAGGAUUUCAACGGGGAAUAGAAAUGCUCACACACCAUCACGACGCCCUUUUAAUUUUUAGACGAACAAGAAGUUAACAUCUCUUAAUUUGACACCUCUCUAAAUUAAUAAUAAUGCACUCACACCUUUUUCAUAUCACCAUAUCACUAUCAUUAACCCAUAAUUUCUCUAUAUGUGUUACAUGAUGGCUUUAAUUAUCAUUCAUUGAAUACCUAGUAGUUUUUGUCUAGUCUUAUGACCCAUGCAAAUUUCCGUCACUAUUUAUUUAACUCCCAAACAAAUAUAAGUGAAUAAUCAUAGCAUAAUAUUUCUAUAAAAUCUACAUGCACCGUCCUAAAAAAGAUAUAAGUGAAGUGGUAGAGCAACUCGUAAGCUCAAAUGAUACAAGACACAUAUAGUAUUCUAACAAAUUAUUAUGAUGAUGUAUCUCUCCCAAAUAGGCGUGUCCAGCAAAUGAUGAUUGUGGAAAACUGAAAGUAAAAUUAAACAAAUGCAAAUGACGCUCUAAGAAAAACUCAUGUCAUGCGAUGAAUAAAAAUGUAGCUCCAAGUGAUAUACCGAUAGAUUGAGACGAAAGAGGGGAUGCCUUCCGGGGCAUCCCCAAUUUUAGAAGCUUGAGUCUUCCUAGAAUAUCACCUUGGGGGUGCCUUGGGCAUCCCCAAGCUUAGUGUUUUGUUGCUCCUCAUUCCUUUGUUUAUCAGGAUAGUACCAAAACUUGAAAACUUCAAUCACAUAAAACUCAACAAAAGUUUGGGAGAUCUGUUAGUAUAAGUAACAUAUCAAAUACUUUUAGGUACUAUUAUAAGUUGAUUCUAAUUUUAUUUUAGCAUAAGUUAUUGUAUUCUAAUUUCUCCAAGGCUUAUUCUCCUCGGUACAAUCCAUAUCAUCCUCAAAACAAGCAAACUACGCAAGCAAUAACAGAAUUUGACUAAAAUAGAACAGUUUGUAGUAAUCUGUAAUGAACCUAUACUAAUGUAAGUCCAAAACUUCUUAACAAUUAGAAUUUCCUGAGGAAUUUGUAUAUUAGUACUGUGUAAAAAAAUCAGCUUAAAAAGACGUCCGAGUAAAAUCAGAGAAAAUUUUCACUGGAUGUCAAAGUUUCUAUUUUUACCGUAUCAAUUCUACUCAUCAUACAAAUUAUCCUAAUGGAUUUACUUAGCACAAACACAAACUAAAACAAAAAAUACAAUCAUUGUAGAGGCAAUAAUCAUGUUAUCACAAACAAACAAAAAUAAGUGAUAACUAAUGAGUUGUCUCCGAACAAGCUCUUUCUUUAUAGCCAUUAAGAUCGGCUUGAAAUUUCAAUGAUGCUCACAUAAAAGACAAGAAUUGAAUCUCAAAGAGAGCAUCAUAAAACAUAUGACAAGAACAUUUAAGUCUAACAUACUUCAUGUGCAUAGGGCAUUUUAUAAGCAAACAAUUUAUGAAGACAAGAAGUGUCUAGCAUAAGCAAGUAGGAAGAAUGAAGCAUUAAAUUUUUGAAUAUCAAGAGAGGUAAGUGAGUAACAUGAACAUUUCUAAAACCAUAUUUUCCUCUCCCAUAAUGAUUACAUGUAGGAUCAUAUUCAAAUUCAGUGUUGGGUUCAAAUAACGAGACCAAGGGGAUUGACAACCUUGUUGCCCGUGUUGGGUGCAAGUUGUUUGUUCUUUUAUUUGCAACCGCUAAAGACAGUUGUUGUUGAUAUUCCUAUUCGUUUGUUAAACCUUGGUUUCAUAACUAAGGGAAAUACUUACCCACACUAUGCUGCGAUAACCCGUUCCUCUUCACGGAAAACCCAACGCAGAUCACAAGUAUCAGGAAGUAUUUCUGGCGCCUUUGCCGGGGAAUAUCAUGAAAAACUAUCAAGUAACUUAACACAAAUUAUCAUUCACUUGUUUUUCUUUUUAUUUGCUGUUAUAUCUUGCUUAAUUAAAAAAAUAGAAACAAAAAUAUUUACCUUUGCUUGUCACUAGUUUGCAUCUUCGCUCUCUAGUUUACUUGCCUAGCUAUGCUAUCUUUAUCUUUGUCACACCAAAAUAGAAAGUAAAAUGCAAAUAUUAAGAUAACUGGAUCCUCAUCCACUAGCUAAUCUUUUCAAAAGACUCGUUUAUGCUGAAACAAUUUCUAGUGAGAGUGCACUAUAUUAUCUUUAUGAGAUCUUGCUUGAAAAUCAUGAAUCCAAAAAUUGUGAAAAUUAUAAAGUGAUUCAUGAUAGUUCCUUUAAUGAAAAUCAUGAUUGCUAUAUUGUUGAAUUUGAAUAUGAUCCUACAUGUAUUUAUUAUGAGAGAGGCAAAUAUGGUUAUAGAAAUGUUCAUGUUACUCACUUACCUAUCUUGAUAUUCAAAUUGUUAAUACUUCAUUCUUCCUACUUGCUGAUUCUAGACACUUUUUGUCUUGAUAAAUUGUUUGCUUAUAAAGUGUCCUGUGCAUAGGAAGUAUGUUAGACUUAACUGUUCUUAUCACAUGUUUUAUGAUGCUCUCUUUGAGAUUCAAUUCUUGUCUUUUAUGUGACCAUCAUUGAAAUUUCAAGCCUAUCUUAAUGGCUAUAAAGAAAGAGCUUGUUGAAAGGCAACCCAAUAGUUAUCAUUUACUUUUGUUUGUUUGUGAUAACAUGAUUAUUGACUCGAUAAUGAUUGUGUUUUUAGGUUUUAGUUAGUGUUUUUGCCAAGUAAAGCCUUUGGGAUGAUUUGCAUGAUGAGUAGACUUGAUACGGUGCAAAAACAGAAACUUUGAUGUCCAGUGUAGAAUUUCUCCGAUUUUACCGGAAUAUAUUUUUAAGCUGAUUUCUUUUACAAAGUAUUGCAAUAAAAAUUCCUCAGGUCAUCCUAAUUGUUGAGAAUUUUUGGAGUUACAGAAUUAUAGGUUCAUUACAUAUUACUACACACUGUUCUGUUUUGUGGAUGGAGGAGAUGGAGAGCGGAGGUGAGGUGUGCUUCUUGACUAGCGCCUAGACACAUUUAUAUAGCACGAUAAUGCAAAAAGCUAUCUGGAGAGAUGUUUAAUGUUCGUCGGAACAUGCACAAACAGGUGGUGCUCACGGCGCUAGAGUAGGUUACUUGGCACACAUAUCGGUUUAAAGGAGGUAGGCGGGCAGACGGAUCCCGUUUUAGUGUGGAGAGAAGGUGUGAACAUCUGACGAUCAGUGGGUGGCACUCUCGAUUGGCGAGCCUCUUUCAUGUCGGCUCCAGUGAGUGGUCGCGUCCUCUCUAGCCAACAUGAAUGCGGGCAUCUAGAAUUGGGAGGGAGCACAAGAGGGCAUGUGAAAUGUGUGUUUGGUGGGCCAGGUUAGUUAGAUGUGGGCGUGGCAGUGGUCUAGACGCCUACACCCCCUCCAAGUUUGUUUGUGGUCGGGUGGCCAAAGAGAGCGUCUCGACUGCCAAACAGACCAAUGUAGCCCCGUGUUGGAUGGCAAAACACGCCUAGACCACCGAACAAAUCAAUGUAGACGCGUGUUGGAUGGCGAAACACAUCCACACCGCGUGAUCCAGACCGUUACAGAUGGUUUGAGGGUCGACAUUAAAGAUGCUUUUACUAGUCAAAGUUAUAUCCCACUAUGACUAGGCUAAAAAAAUGUAACGGGGCCUAGCCACUGUGCGUUUAUGCCGUGAUAUUAUGUGGUUUCAUUUUCGUGAUGAAACUGGAGCGAGGCCACCCCCUAUUUUCCUUAAAAUAUAAUGUAGUCCCUCCUAAAGAAAUAUAAGAGUGUUUAGAUCACUAGUUUAAUGAUCUAUAUGUUAUUAUAUUUCUUUGUAGAGGGAGUAUAUAAUAUGAUGCGGAAAUGCAAGAAAAGUUUGAUGUUUAUUGUGUUGAGCUGCAUCAACUAUGUACCCAGUCUAGAUUGAUCAAACACCUAUAUCUAAUUUAGCUUUAUCAAUAUGAGUCAACACCAGAUAUGAUUAGAGGUGUCGCAUGAUCUGCUGAAGGAAGCUGCUAGAAGAUGACAUGGCAACAAGAGGUAGCCUUCAUAGUCAGGCCAGCAACCAGUGCCAAUGAUCAAAUGACAACGAAAGAUGGGGCAAAAAUAUGUUACAAUGGCGACCCACAUGAUUAGGUUUUCUUGUACUCCCACCCACACCGUCGUCGUUCCUCCCCGACUUUGAUGGUCUUUGGGCCAUGGAUGUGCGCCCCCUAGCGGGAUGAACUCCUCUCUCAUUCUUGUUAGGUUCAACGUCUUCGUUGGGGUUGUGUGGCAGCGGCAAUGCCCCUCGAUGGAAUAAUGUAUCCCACAUGCGAUGCCCGCCCGUGGUGUUUCUAGCAUCGCCGGAGGGCGUAUGGAGGCGUGUCUCCAUCAGAUCUUGUGGGAUUCGGUCGGUGCUUGUCUUUGUUGGUUAUUUUUUGCAUACAAUCUUUAUUCGUGCGUUUAUAUAUUUUAUCCUUUUGAUCACGACUCUCUUCAUCAACGUUAGUUGCCGCUUUGUUGCCUGGUCCCAUGGGGACUUAACACCGACUUUUCAGUUGUCUAUUACAAUAAGGUUUACCUGACUCUCGUGAGGUGGGGGAGGGGGCGAUGAUAAUGGCACGACUUCGGCAUGCUCGAGUGCUUGUAGUCAUCGCUAGGUGGUAUAUGGACCUGAUUAUAAUUUUGAUUACCUGUGGUCUUCUCUGUACUAUCCUUAUAGAUUAUAAAUAGGUUGAAGUUUCUCCAACAUAAAAUAAGAUCAAAGACCAAGAAAAAUUUGGUGUAGAACACUUUUCUUUUGUAAAUAGUACUCUAUGCGUUUUUUGUAUGGAGAUGAAAUUGGCUCCUCCUCUGGUGAUGGCAGGGGUGACUCUGCAAGCUUUCUCAACCCACUUAGCGCGUCGGCGACAACUGUUGUCCUCGCCUCCACUUCUCCAUCAGAAGGUACCAUCGCCCCUCCUUCGCCCCCGACCUCGCUUGCUUCCCCAACUGCCAUCCGUUUGGCAGCAUGGGCGGACCUCACAGAGGAGGAUGACCGAGCUAUGGGAUGCCCCAUCCUCCAUCGUGCUGCAGUGAGCCCGCUCUGUACCCAUGUCAGCGUGGAUAUGUCUGCUGUUAUCGCUGGCGCUCCCCCUAGGUGUGGACGCUGUGCCGGCCUGGUGCGGCACAUCCCAUGACAUAGGCCUCUUUGCUUUGCUUGAGCACCGACGGGAAAAGGUUUGCCCUUACGGAGUAGGGUGUGCCAUGGCUGCUCCCAUGGCUGUGGGGGGGGGGGGGGGGGGUCAGGGACGUGUUGACGGGGGACUAGCCUGCUUCUCCUAGCGUGCUGGUGAAAGAGCAUGCCUCCCCAUGGUUUUGGUAAUUGAUGACAAUCUCUAUGGACGAGUGAUUGCCUUGAGUUAAAUUUGAAGGGUUUGUUCAUAUGCAUUGCUUGAAGACCAUCUCUUUGUUUAAAGGUUAUUAGAAGAACAAUUGUAACACCUUGUGUGUGACAAAAGCGCAUAUAUAAAUACUUUACUCCGACUUUUGUUAGGACAAUAACUAAUUGGAUACUUUUACUAAAGUGCUACAUAACCCUGUGUAUUUUGCAUGCCUUCACGAUCUCUUAUAAUUUUACGCUACCAACUCACUUGCAUUGCUAAUUCAUACAACCAUUCAACUCUGUUUAGUAUUUUUUUUGUGGGUCCUGUUUUUUUUUCUUUUUUUUGCGAUGGAAAAGAGAGCUUUAUUUAGUUACUGAUAGGAUUUCAAUCGGUAGCCAGAAGGCUAAUUAGAGCAUCAUGGGCAUCCGACAACCAUAACUCGGUUCGACGUUUCGUUCUUAACAAAUAGGCUAUUCGAUCUGUAGCCCUAUUCUGCGAACGAUCAAUACAUAAAAGACAGUGACAUGCCAGACAGAGAGUGAAUUUCCAUGAUGCCUAGUCAAUUCUAGACAAGAUGCCAAACAAAUCCAUGUUUUUGGUUCUGAUUGGCUCAUUCUUAGCUGAGCACAAUGGCACGUGUUGGCUUAACUUGCAUGAAGCCAUCUUGUGGAUUAUACCUGAUCUUGGAGUUGAUUUAUUUCAUGGACCAACCCAUGUUCACACAUUCAAUGUUAUUUCUACACAUUUAUGGCACCCCCCCUCUCACAUUCUUGAUAUAUAAAAUCGUGAACCUGUUGCAUGGUUCACUUCCAACUUGCGCAUUCUUCAUGAUUUUUGGUUGCUAUGUCCUAGCAGACCAUAAGAGUCUCAAUUCCCUCACCAAAAAGUGCAAUCUUUCUACUAUUGCAAGAAUCUAGUACUUGGAAUGCGUGGCAUCCGGUAAACUGUAGAAGCAAACUGCCUCCAUAAGUCUUCCUUGCACCGUGGGCAAAUUGGUUCGUUCAGGCUGCUAAGUAAAAAUAAAAGGCAACAAUAGAGUCAGACCGAUCAAAACUGCCACAACACCAAAGUUCUCAUCAUCAUGGCACGCUUGCAUCACAUUUGCAUCACUAUGUACGGAUGGCAUGCUGCUGGCCCGAGUCGCGUAUGAAGAUGUUACGUCGUAUGUUCACUCUAUACUAUUCCUGAAAUAAAUGCUUGUCCCGGCCGUCAGGUGGUAGUUAAAUGUGCUGCCAAUGAUGUUUUCAUACUCACAUGCAUUGUUUUGGCCUUGUGGAAAGCAUAUUUGGAUUGAUUUUCUUUUGUCAUCCACAUGUAUACUGAAAAACAAAAAUGUUUUCUAAAGAUCCAACAGUCCAUUUUGAUUACUAAUUAUCUUAUAAUGGAUAGCCAAUAUCCCCUUAAUGUAACAUGUAAAAUUCACCCAAAUGGGAUUGAGAACGCUCACACUUUCCCUUAACUUUCCCAAUCUACUAGAGGACCAGGCCACUGCCCUCGUUGCCACUCUUUAGCCUCGUUGUCAUCUUCACCCCCCACACUCCGAUGUCACACCUAUGCUGAUGUUCUGGAGAUGGCCGUACAUCUCUACAGUCCGGGCGCAGAGAUGCACAAAAAAUCAUGCAAUGACAUCCCUAUAAACAUAGCCUUUCCAUGUCUUUGAUGCGAAAUGAAAAAAUAGUAAUAUGCUCAGGCCACAAGAUAUUUCAAUGAGAUUCGUGCAAUAUUCGGAGUUCAACAUGUAUAGGAUAGAUUGUGUAUCGAACCAGCACCCAUGUGUAUGCAUGUACAUGUUGGAUACCAAUAUGCAUGGCGAAUCGAUUAAUUUACUGGUUUGCAUGAAUGUAUAUCAGGAUUGACCUGUUAAUGCAAAUUCGUGUGAGAUUUUUUUGUCAAGCUGAUGCACCCUCUUCAAAUAUCUCAAUUUUACAGGAUUCCUGUGGUUGAUAUUAUGACCAUCGGAGGUAAAACUGCUAUCCUGUGAGCUUCCUCUCUGGGUAACCUCGUCCCUGGCAUAUGCUUCAACAAGUUUAUGUUGACACCUCAUCGUAAACCUCUUAUUCAUAGUGGUUGACUCACCACUUUCCGAGCUAGCAAAAUCAUAACUUGCACCAAAAUGUCUCCCCAUUUCCGAUUCAACGGAUUACAAACUGCCUGAAGCUUAUUCCAUUUUUUGGUCAUACGCGGGUUUAAAUUACCAUGUCCAUAUGAAACCUCCGAUCUCUUUUGACUCGCCAUGGUAUAACCUGUUUUAAUCCCUUUCUUUCUAAAUUCAUUCCUAUGGUUAACUAAUUGCAUAUUACUGCUCUUCUUUACAUUGCGAGUUUUUUUGUUCUAAAUAGACAAUUUCAACUACAACAGAUUAUUUAAUCAUACCAGAUACCUUAUGAAACGAGCAUGCGUCCUUAUGGGCAAGUUAUUAGCAAAUGGCAUUUUCUCCAUUUGAUCUAUUAGUAAACAUGCGAUUGUCAAAUGCAGUUCUGAAUCUUCAAAGAAGCAUGAAACGCUACAGCAGCAAAACAGAACACAUUCAGCAUAAACCAAGAAUGAUACAUACAAAGAAAAUCCUUUCGGAUAAUACUAUAUCCAUUAUUUUCGCUUAAGCACGACCUCUAACGAAUUAAACUCACGAGCUAGUAAGGAACGCAUGUACCAGAUCCAUGCCAAACCCAUUGCUUUCCGUAAAAUAAUAACUUAAUAAACAUAUGUAAGUAGUUGAAAUAUAGUUAGAUAAAAGUUUCUAGAAUAUACUUUCAGUUGCAGCUAGCAGCGAUGCCAAAUCAAACAGUAAGUUGCAGUUGAAUAUGACAAUUUAUAGUUGUCGUUCCUUUUUUAAGGCCAUGAUUUUUUGUUGUACUGUAGUGGUACAUGGAGUGACACCUGGUGUUUCGACAUUUCUGCAUUAAAAAUGUGCUCCCAACUGCCUUUUUUUGACUUACCAUCUCAAAUUCACUCUACAUAUAGAUCUCUUGGCUCAAAAGUCAUUGUCUUCAUGUGCCCUGCCUCUGCUGUUACUUACUCCUCUCUUGUGCCCUGCCUCUGCUUUUGCUCGUGUGUUUUGUUCUUAAAACUUGUUCGGUUAGCUUGUCCUCCACAAAUUAAGAUAGUCAUCUCAUAAUCCGGCAUGUUUUUUUUUUCACAUCAAGUUUGGAUGCACCAGGUAGCCAGGCAUGCGUCCACAGUCCAGUGUCUCGAAAUGGACGGCAUCAGGAAACCACCGGCAAGUCUAUUACUGAACGGCCAUUGAUUUAGGUUGAAUGUAUCCUGCAGAAGAGCGAUGGUAAAGGUCAAGCGCCAUCUCCCACCCGUGUGGGUGGACCAUGCAGUUCGUCUUGUCGUCUUUUACUCGUAGGCGGUACCUGCAUCACGCUCAAUCAUUGAGAGGAUAUGUGGAAAGAUGAUCACAACACUGAUGUCUAGGUCAUUAACUAGCAAUGCAACAUACUUCCUCCGUCCGGAAAUACUUAUUCUAUAAAUAGAUGAAUCUAGACUGAUUUUAGUUAUAAAUACAUUCAUUACAUUCAUUUUUAGGAUAAGUAUUUUCGAACAGAGGGAGUAGAAUACAGUAGUAGACACUUGUGGCCAAUUUCUACGGACUGUGCUUACGGACGCCAUCAAGGUCUCACCUCUCACGUGGUUAGCGGAGAUUGAAACGGCUGGUCAUCGUAUUCCUCCAUAAAGCGGCGAUUUGACGCCACGUCUGUCCGUAGACUCCUUGAGUAGCAAAUCAUCCGUAAGAAGAGCAUUAUUGUAAUAGGACUGACUAAGACAUCAGUCACUCAAGAUACGGGACACUAAUCACAAGAGAAACGCUCGUUGCUAGUCACCUGGGAGCUCGUAUAAGGUUUGUGCGGAUUUUUUUACAUUUCUGACGCACAUGCUAUAAAUAAUUUACAGAACAAACUCAAUCUGAAAGUAUUUUCGGAUCUGAUCCUUUUAAAAACGUCAGAGCCCGUGGCGUUGCUGCUCCACGUAAAAACGCUAGUCUACCAUGGCGUUUCUGGUCCAAAUUCAAACGCCAGUCUACGGACGCGUUGCAGUCCAUGCAUAAACGCCACAACUUCUGUCGUUGCCCCUCGGGAUAGAAACGCCAUUGUACCUGGCGUUUGUGUGCGUUUUCUAUUUUUUUUUGACUUUUUUUACGUCUAUUAUUCGUACUAGCAAAAUAGUCCGUGCGUUGCAACGGGAGAAAAAAAUACCACACGCUUUUAAUUUUUUUAUAAUUAUUUUGAUUUAUUAAAAUAAUAAGUUAACAAACUAAUGUAGUUAGUCCUAUCCUAUUUUGUUGAAAAAUCAACCCGUCCAUUGUUAAUUUCACCAUAAUGAGAAAUUAAAGCGCGGGUUGAAUAACAAAAAUUACAGGUUUUUUUUUAAUAAAAAUGACGUGAUGGGUUUUCUGAUGAAAGCAAUAGCGGCUUUAUUAUUGGGUAUAGAUAUACACGGCACGUCAGUGAACAGGACACCAGAAAAACUAUACUGUAGUUGAUCAUGAGUAACAUCAAUGGUGCAUUCCCCGUUCUGCCAGGUAGCUGAGCCGUACAAAAGUCCUGGUUCACGGACUGUCGAUGAACUGAUUGGGGAAGCUCAUUAUUUAAUUGCAUGCUCGAAAACUGAAUUAGUCAAGUACAUCAUCCAUCUGACUAUACGUGAAACGCGUGCCAUGUUUAUUAGCUUGUGAACCUAUAUCGCAUGGCUAUAAAUCACACAAAAAAACUCAUAGUGCAAGUUCGGCAACUAUGUACUACUGUAGAUCAUGCUGUAUAAUCAUUCUGGGGCUUCACAAAUUAUACUAACAGUUUUGUGUGAAACCUAGAAGAGUGCCUAGUUUCAACACAAUACUCAUAUGCAUGAUCUUUCUUUCACAUUUGUUUUUCCAAAUUUAGAAGUAAUUCAGCUAUGCACAAACGGAUGGUUCGGCUCAUUUGGACACACGUCCAAACUAAUAAUUUCCGCAAUGGACAAUUUCUCCUUCUUUUACAAGAGAGGAUGCGUUUAUUUUGCUGCCAUGCAUAGUCAUCAAUUUGCUUGCAGCUGACAAGGAGGUAACAUCCUAUACUAGGUAGCUACAGAACCAUCCCUGUACAUCCUAGAUACACUAGGCUAGGAUUCUUGCGUACACAUCACGUUGUGAGUAGCUAGGCUCUCGUGCGUAAGUAUUGCUCACACGUAGGCUUGUUAGCUCAGGGGCAAUGAUCCAAAGUGAAUUAAACAAAGCCCAGCUACAAUGGUGUUUCUAGUCUGGGAAGCAACGCCAAAAGUUGUGACGUUUCUGCGUGGACUGCAACGCGUCCGUAGACUGACGUUUGAAUUCGGAUCAGAAACGCCAAGGUAGACUGACAUUUUUACGUGGAGCAGCAACGCCUCGGGCUUUGGCGUUUCUAAAA
rnacentral:lncRNA from 1 species